UGAGGAAUCAGAAUCAGGAACCCCAUCGUAAGGGAGAGGUGUAUCACACUGACGGCUUUCUUUAGAAAGCAAUUUUCGGACGCUCCUUCUUUGAAUUGCAUAAACCCGGUAUUUUUGUCUGAGAGUCAAACCGGGGCUUCUUUUGUCCAUUUUCACAUAAAAAAGUAGGGUCAAAGAAUGAGAGAAUAAGAUUUUUAGGGAAUUUUCAUCCGAAGAGGCAGAACCGGCAGCGUCUCGACCAAUCGGAAGAGGGAGCUCAGCUCCUAAAAUCAAAGCUCCAGAUGAGUUGACGAGACCAAAGGCGGAGUACGCCGCAGAGAGGAUAGGCCCAGCACUCAUUUCGUAAGUAAGUAAGCGAGACUCGACCAGUGGCAGUCAUCAGACUUGGAACAAUAAGAAGUUGGUGACCUCUUCCGUCCUUUCGUUUUUUGUCUUGCUGGAUCGGUUAGCGACCUCGGAAUCUGAAGGAUGCAAACUCCAACUUAGAUAGGCUCCCCCGGCCUAGUGCCAUAACUCUGAUUAGUAGAACGACGACCGGGAUCGGAGAGAAGCAGCUUUACAGAAGGGAAGGUUAGAAGUAGCUUCUUUCCUGAAUCUUCGAGGUAAGAGGCAGCAGCAGGAUCCGUUGAGGCGGGAGGAAGAGAGAGGGUUCGGGGCCCCCUUGCUGCUUAGUUUCCGGGGAGAAAAUACAAGCGAGCGGUAUGAGCUGCUGUUCUUGAAGGAGUUGCAGUCGCUCUUCGUCUUGCAGAAGUAGUAGUUGUCCCACCACCACCUUCUUUAUAUGUAAAGGCUUAUGUCCCAAUUUACAGUGAUUUAAUGACUUCCUUUUCUGGGGAGCCGCGGAAAGAUGAAAAAAGACAUUCAAAGGCGCAAUUCCAUAUGCCUUGAAUCGGAAGAGUUCCAUAACUUUACGAGGUGCGAACUUAUGUCCUGUCCCAGGAAAAGGAGAAAUGCCCGAGACUUAGAGGAUCGGGAUUCAGUUCCGGAGAAAGGCUCAACCUACGGGCAGAGGAAGUUGAAGUACGAGAGACUGAGUCCGCGCCCCCUUGAAAGCAAGUCUGAAUUUUGAUGUUUUAGAAGUUGCGAAAGUCGCUUUUCAAAUUCUUUGAACCUUGUUCAUUCUGAACUUUCUCCUCCUUCUCCUAUGUCCAAAAGUCAUGAAAUUCUCAAUAUGUGGUCCGAAUUCUGAUUUCCUAAUCAAUAUAUAAAGAAUAGUCUAUAUAUUCUUUGUCAAUAUUCUUUGAACCUCAAAUUUCAUUGAGCAGUUCUUCCCGUGUAGUGGGCUUACCUUUAAGACUCUUUCAGUUCCAUAAGACUGAUCUGGAGCUUUUGCAAAGAAGAGAAUAGAAUGGCGAUCACAAAGAAUAUGCCUUGAAUGAAUGAGUGCAAGGCUGAAAGAUUAAACUACCGCACCGUGGGGGAGUAAGAAACCGCAUCUUUGCAAAUUCAGAGCCACUAUUUUUCCUUGUAAGUGGCUUCGCGCCAUCUCGCCUUGGAAGAGAUUAGCCGGCGAAAGGCCUCGACUAAGAGACAGGCAAACCAAUCAGGGCAUCCAAUCGGCAGGGAGAGGGGUCGACGUGUGAAGUUUGCUUCUUUAAGAUAGAUAAUAGGGGAGUACUUGAGUUCUUGCAAAGACAUUAUUCUCAUUCAUAUAUGAUGAACGAUCAAUGAACAAGGCUCAAAGAAUUUGAUGCUCCGCGGUACAGUAGAAUCAGAGAGAGGAAGGAGGGACAAACUCCAAACAAAAGGCUCGUACGGUCCCCUUCGAGGAAUCGGAUCUCUAAGGAUAAGGGAAAGGCCUAACUAAACUAACUCACUCUUUUUCUUCCUUUUUCAGUCGCAGUGGAAGUGGCUGCUGAUGAGGCUCAAAGAAUUUGAGGAUCGCUCUUUCAUUCGUUACCGCUCCGUGGGUCGCAAAGUGGCUUAAAACUCCUAAACCUAAAAUAAAGACGAAAGUACUUAACUUAUGGGAGCCCACUAAAGAAAGCCUAUUAUCUUCUAAGAAAGUUCAAUCUUCUUUCGAACGAAGGAACUCAUAUUCAUUCAGCUAUAUACUCCUCCAGGACGUCGUCUGGACCCGUCCUCCGGACUUCUGAAUUCCAAAAAAAGGUGUGAAAUCCGCUAAAAUUGCCACUUUUCAUUAAAGCUCCGUCGGCUCCAUAAGACAGGUCCGAAGGACUAUCCAUCAGGAAGGCUCAAAGAAGAUUUUCUCUCAAAUUUGAAGUUCCACGCAAUAUUCGAGCAAUAUUCGAUACCACUACGGAGGCCCCAUAAGACAGGGAUAUUGAUUGAGAGGUGCAAAGAUCUAUGGCCCCCAAUUAUAUUAUAAGGGGUCCAGAUGACUAUCCAUUAGGGAAUUUGAGAAGCGCAUGAAAUUCAGAGGCUCAAUGUAAUAUGAGUUGAAUUGCGCCGGAGUCCGGAGGACCAAAAAGAAAGGUCCAGGGUCCGGAGUCCGGAGGAUUUAUCCGUAGGACCAUCCAUAUGGAAGGAAGUCGGACUAUCCGUAAUUAACCGAACUUUGCGCCUAGCCUCUCCUUACUCAAAUUGCAUUGAGCCUCCUCCGCCUCUUGAGCCUGAAUUAUCUCAGAUUUUCGGUUCAUCUUUCCAUUGAAUUUAUGGAACCCCCUACGCGGUGCAAUGAAAUAUGCGAUGACAUUCUUUCUUUUCUGGCUUCUGAUUGCAGCCGCUUAAAUUCAAAAAGCGCAAAGAAUAUUGCGUGAUGACUUACUAUUUUGCUCAUUCUUCCCGUCCUCCCUCCAUCCAAAUAAAAGGAGCCAGCCCAUGGAGAUGCUCGUCUUGAGCCUGAAUUUGAGAAAAGACUUCUGCGGAGAGCAAAGAAUUUGCGAAGAAGAAAGAUCUUUUUUUUCAGUGGUGUCAAAAACAAAGCGGAAGAUGAGUCUUAUUCCUUUGUUCAUUGACCUCUUUCAUUCGCGAGAGAAAAUAGACUAAAGCAGCCCAUUCUUUAGCUCAUUUAGAAAGAUUUGACUAGGGAGGUUUUCGGAUUUAAGUACUUUCGUCUUUAUUUUAGGUUUGAAAAGACAAGAAGAAGUUAAGCUUGAUAAAGUCAAGAGGAGGGGUCAGAAUGCUUUGAAUAGGUUGAAUAGUCCUCCUAUAAUUUAGUGGAUAAACAAGGCGCAAAGAAUAUUGCAAAGGUCCUUCUCAAAUUCUUUGAUCCUCAGGCGCAAUUCAAUAUGCGAGUAGGAGGAGCAAAGAAUAUUGCCUUCCACUAAAAGACUAGGACUGAGGCCUUCUAAUUGGAUCUGGUUCAAUUCCCACUCCAAAAACAACCAGAUGAGUCAGAAAGAUUUCCUUAAGAUAAUAGGCUUUCUUUUCAUAAAAAACCACUAAAGAGCGUGCCAAAUCCCAAUCUGCAACAGAGCGAGUAGCCUGGUCAACUACAAAAACAAAGGCUCGACUGAAAUUCUAAAAAACACGAAUAAAUAAGGUUUUUCCAUCUAAGGAAGUGUAGUCGCCAAAAGGCAAGUUGAACGAAGGGCCUAGGGAAGUCGGGGCUGAGCAACGGAACUCUACUGGACCCCUAUGAUGGGAUCGAACAAGCGCACCAAUGGAAGUCGGACUGAGUCCGAGUCUAAAAAAGUGCUCGUCUUCCCCUGUCCUUGCGGAUAGCGGGAGCAAGAGAAAGACGAUGUACCAGAGCCCUAACCAUCGGGACUGAGACAGAACUAAUGUUGACCCGACCUUGAUUGAUUAGAAAGAGCUUAGCAAAGCCAUCCACGAGAAAAGAGAUCAUUGUUUGGGCCUCAUCUUCAGCUCCUCCAUGGCUUCCUGGUAAAGUUCUGCUACGUGCCUAUCCUCUCUGACAAUGUCAUCACAUUGAAUAGCGUACUUCAGAAACCUUUGAUAGAAGAAAAAAUGGGGACGAGUGAAAAUAAACUAAUAUUUUUGAAUGAAUGAGUUUCGGAGUACGAAAAUAUGAUGAAUAGUCCUCCCUCCGACGGAGCAGCUUAGCUUAACUUAAUAUGUGACCAAAGGUCCAGAUGAGUAUAUAGCGUAGGAUCAAUGAAAUAUGAGAAGAAUUCUUUAUAUAUUGAUUAGCCUACUUUUCCUACGGGGUCCUCCGGACAGGUUAAUAUGGAUAUAAAGAAGUCAGAAGGACAUUCUUUCUUUUUUUUGGUCCUCCGGCACUUUCUCUCAAAUUUCAUUGAUCCUACGGACUAUCCAUUAUCAGAGAAAGAAUUUGAGAAAGAGGGAGAGAAGCGGAUAAGCGGAUCUUGCAUAAAUCAGCGGAUAUUGCACAAGCCGAUCUUGCUCUUUUGACCUGAUUGAAUUCCGUGACGGCGUAAACCAAUCCGCAAUAUUCUUUGCACCGCACCGUGGGGGAGGGCUCAUUCACUCGAAUUCAAGAAUCAUUAUUCUUUCAUAACCUGGAGGGUCAAAGAAUAUUGAGCAGAAUAGACCCGUAUUUCUCCGGACCAGAAACUCAAACAAGAAUCAAACUAUGUUCAUUUCGAAAAUCAAAUAGGACAAUGCCUUGCUAUUUCCCGGCUUUUUUGCUUCUAAAUAGGACUAAAUCGAAUAUAUAUAUCUAACGAAAAUUGUCUAAAAAUGACUGAUUUUUCAUGAUUUCUUGCUACUUCCCUAUGGGCAAAACCUAGCAAAAUCAUGUAUUUCCCUCCGCGAAGGACUAGUCUGAAAUCUAGCGGAUUCAUAAUUCUUCUUUCAUUUCUGAAUGAUUCUUGAAUUCGAGUUAAUGAGUGAAUUCUUCUUUUCUUUUCUUGACUUUGAACAGGUGCCAUGCAAUUAUAAAGGGUCCAGAUGUUCCAUAAGACAGGUCCGAAGAACUAUCCAUCAGGGAGGAUCAAUGAAAUAUGAUGGAUCCUCCUUAGUCGGCUAAUAAGCCAGUUAUGGGAGAUUCUUUAGUCCGCUAAUAAGUAGCUUGGGCUAAGAAUAGGUUGAAGCUCUUCUUCUUAGUCGGCAAAUAUAGCAAGUGUGAAGCGAGAGUGAGCUUUCUCUUUAGGUUGGAAUCAGUACAUCUAGAGUAUGUGAGGGGAGAAAGCGUCAAGCCUGGGAGCUAGUGCAAAGAUAAGCCCUCACUUCUUCCUUUCAUCUCGCUCGCUUUGCUCGAUUCUUAUAUGGAUAGUUUUCUUGCAGCCAAUCGAUAGCCUGUCUCUUAGUUCUUUCUUAUUCAAGAUCUAGUUACAUUUUCCCUAUCCAGUUUGAGUCUUUUUUUAGCCUAGGCUUUCUUCCAAUCCAAAUAGUAAGCUGGUCCAGGCUAGGAAAUGGCCCUAGUUCUUCGACCCGGACCCCUAUGAUUCUGUCUUCUUGCUUUGGGCUCCUACUCGAAUGAAUACCAGUCGAUACCUUCAUCUUUCAAUCACCGAGGUAGAAGUAGAAGGAAUGAGAACAAAAAUGCAAUUUCGUCCCAUAAAAAUAGAAUAUGAUCUCUUCUUUGAAUAUGUAUGCUCCACCUCUGCUUUACCGUAUCGGAAAAGAUAAGAGAAACUAUAUGUCAAGGAGCUAGCCUGGAACAAAAGAAAACUAGAAGUAACCCCCCAGGGGCUGGAAGAGAACUACCAAUGGAUUUAGCAAACUAGCACUCGCUGGUGAAAUAGUCCUCCAAAGCAGCAGCCUACUUUAGGAAUCCCCAAAAGCAUAUAAAAAAUGGCGGUCCUGUAACCAGCUUGUGCUUACUUUUAUGGAAUCACUGGCUCCGCAAAUUGGCCAAGACUGGAUCUCAACCCGAAGGGGAAAUAGAUUCCUUUUUUCUUGCUGGAGAAUACUUUUCAACUACAGACUUGGGAAGUCUUCCUGCUCCUGCUUUUUUGACCUUGGAUUGGAAAGGGCUGGAGGGGAGCUCCUAUACUAUGGGGAAGGCCAAAGCUAUUUACUUAAAGUCUCCUUUUGAAGCGAAGCACUAGGAAUGAUAUCCGAAGCCAAGAAGAAAACUCCUGCUCCACUGGGAAAAGGAAAAUAAUGGUAUAUAAGACAGAAAGUAUAUAAGAGCUUUACCAGGGGACCCCGUUUAACCACUUGCUUGACUUUGGGACGCCCUCCUUGAACUGAGAAAGUACUCUUUCUAUUGUAAAAGAGAAGAGAAGGUAGGGCAGGAGAAGGCAGAACCAACUAAAACUCACGGGAGUACGGCAACUCCUUAGAUCGUAUGGAAGGGGAGGAAUGAGACCAAUAGCUCUUUACCCUGCUGUCUGGUGGGGAACUUUCACUGGCAUUAACUAUGGGCGGGCACUCCCAAUUGUUGGCCUUAGUACUCGAAACUAGUUCGCAGGCUUGAGAAGAUGGUUAAACUAGCUAUUCUAGAUACAGGUAAUCUCUAAAGGGGGGAAGCAAAAAUGACUGCGCUUGCCCUGGCCUGAGAGAUUGAAAAACUCCUACUGGGUCUGCAACUCGCUCGAAUGCGGAAGGAAUUUGCAUAUCCCUGCCUUCUCACGCAAUAUGCUUUGCGCCUUGAUCUGUCAAUGACUUGAGACUGGAGAGCUCACUUCACUUUCUGGCAGUCACUUCGGAUAUACCUUUUGUCUUUGCCUUACCCAUUGUAAAGGAUACUGGCUAGCUUGAAAAGAGUGCUAGCGAACCUGCUUUUGACCUAGAAGCUGCUUUAAUACCCCGCUGACUUCAGAUUCAGAUUGGCUGGAGGUGAAGACCUUAGCAUUGGCUUACAAGGACUCCUCUCUCAAAAGAAAGGGUACUGGCAGUAGACAAAUUACCUACUGGUAAAGUCAAGGGAGGACCAGAGCAGCCACAUAGGGCAGUUUGACAUCGAUUGCGGGUAAAGACAGAUAGUCAGACCUAGCAAUCUAGUUAAUAAGGACCCCCCGGAGAAAGACAGCUUCACAAGUCAGUUCCCCUGGCUCGGGCUAUCUCAGGAAAGAGUUGGGAGCACAUUCUUUCUUUGAACAUUGAGAAAGGAGCGUAGCCACCGCUGAAUCGGAUUCUAUUCUUGGUGCUGGCAGAGGUUCAAACUAGCUAUGCACUAAAGAAGCCCUAACCUAACCCCUAUAGUCAGAGUAGUGAAGCAAGCGAACUGAACCAACUAACCUAGAUCUUCACUCCCUGGAAAUGAAUAGCUGACUGAAGCAGGCAUAGAUAGCAGAGGCAUUUCUAUCCAGUACUCCUUUCUUUCCAUCGAUCCUUCUUUCAAUGCUCUGAUAUGAGUUGAGUUUCGAGUAGUCGAUGAUUCGUCACAGGUAGGUCAAUAUUCUCCUACCUUUUCUUUGUUCUUUCUUCUAUGUCAAUAUUUCACCUUCUUUUCUUUCAAUGUAAAUGCUUCGGGUUCUACUAGACACAGAGCGAGAAGUCGUUCUGCUCUCUUCAGCUAUCCCUAACACACUAGACCAAGCGAACCAUCGUUGACCGAACCGUCUAACCUAGCUAGAUCUGAGCUACCUGGAUCCCUUUGUCAGUAAGUAAUUGAGGAAGAGUUACCUGGAUUGAGACAGUCUGAAGGAUUAGUACCCCCCUCGGUCCAAUUCCAGCUGUUCUUGCUCUCUCAGGACUUCCUAGGUCAAUUUCAUCGAGUAAAGAAAUUCUCACACAUAGUCAACCCAAUACUUGACUAUAAAGUAUUAGCUAAGUGCCUUCUUUUUUUUGAUCUCGCUACAAGUUCUAGUAUGCUCUUACGUCUUGAACCCUGUCUUUUAGACUAGCUUAUCUCCAGUAGCAGUGGUUGGGAAGAAGAUAUUCCCCUAUCCAGGAGUUUAGGCUUAAUAGAAUCCAGCCCUAAAUCCGCUUAUGAGAACUGAACUUCACGAUUGGACAGCUAUAAGCUAAGCACCAACUUCCGCAAGGACUGCCCUGAAGGAUAGGACAUUCUUUCUCUUACUAGAAAACUCCGAACAUUCUAAUGGCGCGACAGGCGCAAAGAAAGCUAAGCUAAUAUGGAUAUAAAGAACGACUAAGGACGGAGGAUCAAAGAAUUAUCUCAAGAAUAUUGCCAUUAUUUUUCAUACUUUUUCAAAGAAUCCCUAUAAGUUGACUUAUUCUCUACCCGCUCGGCCUCGUAAACUCUGUAUCAAGCCCUAACCCAACUCAGACUAUGAAACAGAAAUUCCGGUCCAGACCAGUCCGUCUUAUUCAAAACCGAGACUUCCGGCCGAAACUAGCACUCAAAGCGAUACUUAUUCAUCUGGAAGUCCCACAGCCAAGAUUACUCUCUCGUCGAUCCCAUGAUAAGCUAAUAAUAGGGUGAGCUCCCUCUACAUCCAGCCUGAGAUACUGAUUUUGCUAACUCUCAGCUCAAAGUCAAAUAGGUUUUAUAGGAGCCUGGAUCAUUCAAAAAGAAAGAAUGUCCUUCUGACUGAUUUUUAUCCAUAUUCAAUGAAAGAAUUCCUGCCCAUAAAAUCGCCGACUAAAUCGGAGAGAGCAUACUGAGUAUGAAGAUGGAAGACUAAGCUAAACUGGAAGAAGAUCUCUCUUUCUGGGUCUUAUCCGUCCUACUCUCUCAGUCUUGAAGUGACUGACUCUUCCUUCUGAUCAUAGUACUGAUCCUACUUCUGACUAUUUAUCUUAUUCAUUCUUCAUCGACUGAUGACUCGGAAGAAAUGGAACAAGGGGGUGUAGCGGACUCUCUCUCUUACUGACUUUCUGAUCAUAGUACUUAUGAAAGUGAACCAAAUCUUCUUCCUAUUCUCAUUCUAACUUCCGAUUCUUUUCAAAUCCUUUCCAAAUGGAGAAUUCUGACUUUUCUUCCAUAUUCAGGAGUUCAGUCAAUAUCCCUCGUACUCCAUCUAGAUAGAAAAUGGGAAAGUCCUCUUAUCGAUACUCUGCCAGACUCGGCUUCGCGGGCGCCUAUAUAAAAGAAGGGAGAGGCCUCUCAAAUACUUUGACCCUCUUCUCUUUUUUCGUGGUAAGAAAGACGGAGCGGUCUAAGUUCCGGAUCGAAAAUCGAGUUGGGGCGAAGCAGUAUUCUGACGAGGGUGCAGAAUUAUGAGGAUAUGCUUUCCCCGAAAACUCUCUUUACUCAUUCGAUCUGCUUCCGAAGAGGUGCUAGAAGCCGCCUCAUCCCUGAUUUCGAGGUGGGAAGCCGUGAGUCGGGUCUUUCUUUCUUCAUUCGCUAUUGCUUCAAGCAAACUAGUCAAAUACUUGAUUAAGUAGUUUCGGGGAUAGGAAUAGUCAGAAAUUCAUAACUAUCUUCUUGCGGAUCUUCUGAAAUAAGAGGUCAAAUUCAAAGAAAAAGGCGCACUCACAGAAGUUUCAGUCAGAAGUUGCCUCAGUCCUCCUUGGUCCCCUGAAUCAGAAUCAAGGAUCUUUCAUCCAUCCCUUCUUCUUUCUUUUGCAGUUGCAGUGGAAGUGGGAGUUUCAGCUCCAGAGGCUUUUCUUGAGGAAGGAAUAGCGAGACCCUUUUCAUUGAGGCGGUUGAGCUGGCGCAGCUUCUCCCUGGCGCCCAUAAGAGUCUGAAAUCCAUGAUGAAGGACUACUCCCCGGAUCAGGCAGAGAGGGUAGAGGCGAGGAAGCUUUAGCUUUGGAUGAAUGGGCUUGAAGCAAUGAGAAGAAGAAGAGCGUAUUUUUAUACCUCCUUCCAUCCACUCCUUUUUCCGCACUUCAAUCUGAACUAAGAAAAGGGGAAGAAGAAGAGCAGCUCUCCCGACCUAUCAAAUCUCCAUCUUUCUUUCCCGAAAGCAUGAGUCAACAGAGUAAGCAGUCUCGGCAGAGAAAGGGCUUGGACCAAGCUAUCACUCAUAUCCUAUUGGAGUUGGGUCGAUCGGGCAGUCUGUUUAGGAAGUAGCUGCCGUGGAAGAAGCGGCCUUUCCUUCCCCUAUCUCUGGGAAUCAAGUUCCUUCUUUCUGAAUUUACGGAUCGAGCGAAGACAUCUUGAGACCAUAGGCUUGAAUCCUUUAAGAAAUAUCCCACUUUGCCUUUCUUUGACUGAUAGAUCCGAUCGAUCCUUCUACUAAGACAAGAAAAGCGACUUCCGAAAGAUCUCUAAGCAAUCUCUAUUCUAUUGGAAAAGAAGUGGAACUUCGAGUCUAGAAACUUUCUUCCACUCAUAAGGCUUACGAAUUCCGAUGAAAAGAGUCAAUCUAAAAAAGACUGCAGAAAGCCUAUCCUCCUAACCUCUGAUUUAUGGGGGUCUCGCUCCCUCUUUCUAUUUCUAUCGGAAGACCAAAUUCUCUCUAUCUCCGCUCCGCUUCUUUGCUCUGGUCUCGCUUCUUCGCCCUAGUAAAGCUUCCCGAUUCUUUUCGGUAUCUGUCUUUCCUUAUUCAGAAAUGAAUAUGAAUUGAAGAAGAAAAAUCCCUUUCCGUGAGUCAGGCUCAAAGAAGAUUUCGAAAGAGAGAAAGAAUAUUUUAUUUCACUUUCUUUUGUCUUUGUCAUUAACAUAUGAAAUUAGGACAGCGACCCUUUCAGAUGAAAUGAGGUCUUAGGCUCUCGAAGGAGACGAGGUUCUCUUCCGAAAAGGGAUUUUCUGACUAAUGUAAUGGGCAAGUCCCUUUCUUAGAGGAGAUUCCAGUAGCGGGUCUAUAACGUAAAUCAGAAUAGAAUGAGAGAGAGGAUUGGGACCGAAGGACAGCUUCCACGCCAGGAAGGAAUUAAUAAGACAGCUGGGUGUGCCGGCCAUAUGUACUUUGAUUUUCUUUUUUCACAUUCAAACGGGCGCGGAGGCAAAGAAAGGGAAAAAGGAAGGCCCCAUUCCCAUUCAACUCAUCUGGAGCUUGAUUUUUCACCAUUCCGAAGUGUGAUCUAUUAACCUCCGGGAUCUCCGCGAGAUUCUCUGUAGGUAGAUAGGGAGCUUGCUUUCGAGUUCGGAAUAGAAAGAAGUACGAUGUCAGCGGCCCGGUCUCCCACUUGAAGGAUAGGCUUUCUCUCUAGUAAAGCUUGCUCCCGCCCCCCCUAGAAAAGUAGGCCUUAAUCAAUAUAUAAAGACUUCUCCGCAAUAUUCUUUGGGCCUACGGUCCGAAGGAGUCAGAAACCACAUCUUUGCAACCUUUGUGAGUCAGAAACUCAAAUCAAUAUCCCGCGUAGUGGGCCAUAGAUCUUUGCGCCUGCUAUUUAACAGCUUUUUUUCUCCAUAAUACUUUAUUAGUUAUUUAACAGCUUUUCUUUUCCAUAAGACUUUUCUAGCUAAAAUAAUGAAAGGCCUAUCCAUUAGAGAAUUUGACUUGCGACGUCCGCUUUAAGAGCCUAGGGAUCGUGGAAGGGUGAGUUUGCUUCCCCCAGUAAGCACGCCCUAAGAUGCUGCUUGAGAUCUUUCGGCCUUCUGUUCUUGCAGCAGUUGAAUAAGUGUGUCCGCUGUGGAUUGAAGCUCUUGACCGUAUUUCCUAUAAGAUACCGUACUUCCAGACAGAGGUCUUGGUUUUCUCCGUAGCUAAGGGCGGACAAUGAAUCCGUACUUCAUCCUCAGCGAAAGGUACCUUGAAGAAAGUCUCUGAAAAAAGGGAAAGCUCUCACACUUAAGAAAAGACAAGAUUUUGCCUAGGGUCCUUGAAAUCCCACUAUUUAGAGGGGACAUCCGCUCAGGAAGAGGUUAGAGUUGAAGCGCUAUCACUUUGAGAUUGAAAGUAAGGAAGAUGGAUCGGGGUAGGGACCACUAGGUGGGGCCUACUUUAGAUGAUAGGUUAGAACCUUCUCGACCAGUACUUCUCUAGAAAAUAGGUAAGAGAAAGCCUAAGGAAAAGAAUCUGUACUCAAGGGUCAAAGAAUAUUGACUUGAGGACAGUCUUCUUACUUAAGGGAUGAUCUCGGAGCAAAGGCGUCAUGGACCCUCUGGCCUAUGGGAGGAAGACAGGGAGGGGAUUGCCGCUCGAAAGAGAAGAAGGGCAUCAGCCAUACCUGAAGCGGAGGCAGAAAAGGGCGCUUCGGGAAAGAAAGCCGUCAGUCCGAGCUUUCUCUUUUUCUUUCAGCAGUUGCCUCAUCUGGUAGGGCAGAUCUCUCUUUAUGAAAUUAAGGCCUCAUAAAAGUUCUUCAUUUAUUUACAUGUAAAAGUGAGAAGAACUCUUUUAAGACGUUAACGGAUGCAAACCCCCUUUCAUCCUCUUCAUCUUUCAUGGGCAUUCCAACAAGAAAAAGGUUAGGGCGCGGCGACUCUCCUCUUCCUAAGUACUACUCGCAUAAGAAUCGUUUUCAUGAUCAAGAUGAUCAGACAGAGGGAUCCCGAACUGGACAAAGGUGAGAGAGGAGAGGGAAGCCCCAGGAGGUAAGCGAAGUCAUCAAGAGAAAGCGAAGGUUGAUCGUAAAAAACCUUUCUUUUCGAUUUCUAAUCAUUUUUUUUAGAAGAGAAAUGGAAUCAACCCCUCGUUCUACCCGUGGGGACGGUUGAGCUGACCAUACUAAACUGCUCUUCUCUUGUGACAGAAGAUGAUAGUGGUUCUAACCGCGCGCGUCUCACCCGACGCGACCGAGUUUCUUUGAAUGUGCGAUUGUAGAGCUUAGAGGUUCACUCCAACCUGGUUUUUUAGGCUGAAUGCAAAGGAAUGAACCAGAGGAGUCUUCUCAUGGAAUAUCUUUCUUCUUAUCUACUUUACCGCUGCAAAUUGAAGCUGGGUCCGUCCCAGGCCUCCUUAUUUUUUCUAGAAGUAGUCCUUUCUUUUCUUGGGUUCCGUUCAGUCGCUUUUGAAGCUCUUAUUGCAAGAAAUAUGGUAUAUUCACGAGGCGAAAGAAAUGGAUGAAUGUGCGAGACCGCGGAGGGGGCCAUAAAUUAGGUACAAUCAUCAGAGUUAUCGAAGAGCGGCUCGUCCAUACAAUACAAUUGGGCUAACCCAUGAAAGUCAAAGCAAGUCUUCUUUAUUUAUGCUGAAAAACUCUCCUCUGGCUUCGGCUCGAUCUAUCCAGGGUCUUUGCUCACCGAUACUAUGUAACCAAGCCCAAUUCUUUCUACUAUAUGGAGCGGGUUUGAGAGUUCGUUCGUCACUUUACUCAUCCAACGGGAAAGGUUAUGGGUUGCUGCAACAAAGCCUCUAGGUUCAUUACCCUGAUCAUGGUGGUAGGGGUCACCCUAUAAACCCGGACAGAUAAGAGAAAGGGAAUUAGGCGAGCUCCAUCAUCAUUAUGAACUGGGGAAUGUGAAGAGAGAUAUACCCUGAAAUUGGCUAGCAAGCUGGCUCAAGUGGGUCAAAUGGUAUGCUUCAGUCUGUUCUGAUCCGCUGAUAACGAAAGUACGAGAUCCGGACAUAGAUCUUUGAAAGUACGGACUAAAAGGAAGUUAAUAUGGACCUGAUCUCAAAUUCUCUAAUGGAUAGUCCUUCGGACCGCUCCAAAAUAAAGAAAAGAAAAGAUGCGCAAAGAUGAUCGACUCCUUAUUUAUGCUGCGUAGGAGGACGGGUUCCCCAAGAAUAUCCCUGUCUUAUGGCGCAGUUCUUCCCGUGUAGUGGGCUGACUUCAUUGAUCCUCUUGACUUCUUUAUACCAUAUUAACCUUUCCUUGGACUCAUAUCCACAGCGCACAGAUGGAGGAGGGGCACCAAGGCAGAUUGAACUGAUAUCUUCGGGUGUCUUAGGCCCUAGCCGCGAAAAGGCAUGUUUCAAAAAAAGGGUAGGAAAAGGGAGAAAGACAGAAGAAGUUCGACGAGAGGUAUGGGAGAGCUUGCUCAAGCUGCGAGACUAAAGGGAGAGGUUGCGAGCCCUUGCCGAACUGUACCGUCAGGGGAUCCCCCAAAAGGUCUCCCUAAGGCGAGCUUCUCUAUGGUCGAAUCCCUUCGCCUUUCUCUUGGCGAGCAGGUUAGUGGUCCGCAAACUAAUAGUCCAAAGACUAAGAUUUUGAAUACUACUUCCCCGCCUCAAUGAACAAAGGCUGAGUGAGGAUGAUCUUACUAGAGAAUAAGUCGUAUCGAACCCUCUUCUUGUAUUGGACGCUCGGGAUCGUUCUAUACUGGAAAGUGGAGCAUAUGAUACCAGGGCCUAGCCCGCUGCACAUCCCUUUCGAUUUCUUGACUCGCUUACCUUGCGGAUAAAUGCGCUUCGCUUCGCAUAGUAAUCUUUGUAAUAGUCUUCUUUUUUAGGUUCUACUUUCCCUAUGUAAAAAGUGAAAAAGAAGACUGAAGUCCCCUCUUUCAAUGCCAUCUCCUACUAAUGGAAUAUGAGUGAAUAGACUCUAUUUCUCAUAAUAGCUUCUUCCCACAAGAAGAGUGCCAUCGACUGAUGAGGCCCCAACGGAGACUGAGUACUCUUACUCUCACUGAGGCUGGAGGAAGAGACAAUACUAACUUCUCGCUGACUCUUUCUCGAUCCUUAUUAACUAGUCGAGAUGGAAGAAUUCCGAUUCCUUUACAUCGUCUUCCUCUGAUUCAACGACGACUUAUGACUGCAAUUAUUCAAAGAAUGAAAGCAUACUCCUAUCUUCUCGGGAAUAGUGAUAGCUUGAAGCUUCUACCCUAUAUUGGUCUACGGAUCCCCCUACUUAUCAGUCGUAUGAGAACCUACCCGCUCCUGCUUCCGCAUAUGAUAACCUCUUCGGCUCCGUCGGACCCCUUAUUCAUUUCGUCUGCCUCCCGGUCUGAUGAGAAUGACGGACUCCGCUUCAACUGCUUCCGAUUUAGCAACGGGUCAUUACUCAGAAUGUGCCCUUUCAGCUUCAAGGGCUCCGAUCCCUCUGCACCCGUAGGUCUCCACAUUCUACCCUUUAUUACCUUCGUCUUUUCCCACUAGUUCUAGUAUCGGUCAUACGCUUAUUUAUCAGAAAAAGAGAUUCUAAUUCAAUAGGAAAAAACAAGCAAUAGUACCUCUGCGCAUCCGCGUCGCGAAGGUGAGCCGCUAGUCGGCUUCCUAGCCAAAGACCUCUUCCUUAAUAAAAUAAUGUGAAUUUGAUAAUAAAAUAAGGGAAUCGUCUUAUUUAAUGGAAAGCCUAUCAUGUUCCUGCUUUAUUUAGCUUUCUUUCUCAGAAUGCAUGUCUUAAGCAAAACAUUUAAGAAUGCAUGUCUUAAGCAAAACAUUUAAGCGGAAGCCUUGCUGAAUUCAUUUUCGAGAAAUCAAGGCUCCAUAAGACAGGGAUAUUGUCUUGCAUUCGAAAGGCGCAAAGAAUAUUGCGGAGAGGACUAUUCAUCUUUCCACUUAUUUGACUCUUCUUUGAGCUCUGAAUUUGAGCUAAUAAAGCAGUCAGAACCUACUUACGCAACUGGGACUGAGACUUCUCCAUAUUCUCUGGUCGUCGCAAUAUUCUUUGCGCCUAACUCCUCUCGCUUUAGUUUAGCUCUCGCUUAACUCCUCCUCCCGUAGAAAGAGCUGCUUUUGAGUCCAUUUUGAACCACAUGAAAAGAAGAAAUCCAUAAAUAAGAGGUUCAAAGAAUAUUGAGUUAGACCAGGACCUGAGUACGAGGAUGCGAAAGGAGCUCGACGAGAAGAGGAUGCGCCAUCCCUUCUUGCUGGAGAAGCUCUCGUGGCUUAGUUGCGCCAAAGCAUGGGGGAUUUUCCCUAACAUCUGAAUGAGUGAAGUAGGGAAUGAUUAUCAGUCUUCUUUCCAUAUUUCCAUAGUUUCUACAGUGGCUGAACAAGAAGAUCUUUCGGCUGAGGAAUUAGACCGAGCCUCACAUCAAGAUCACUCGGAAGGAGUUAAGCUUGAUAAAGUCCUUCGCCUAAGAGCGCAAACCAAAGGCAAAGGACGGGUCGGCGCGAAGACAAGGUCCUCCCUCGGGACAGGAAGGAGGAAUGGAGUGCGAAGAGUGUGAAAUUGGGGCCUUCUUUCGCACAAGGGCUUGAAUCCGUGGGCGAAUGCGAGAAGAGGUGGCCUAUUUUUCCUUGGAAAAAGUCGUCUUUCUUUCUACUGAUAUUUUCCCCUUAUCAUGAACAAGCGCAAGAACUGCCUCAAGCACAAGGGCUACUUCCGAAACCUCCGCAACCCCCUCGCCUGCAACCGCAUCUCUUAGCAGCCUCCGAACCCCUUUUUGGACCUGGUUUGCAUCGCGGAACGUCAAAUCAGCCUUUUGUUAGGGAGAACCCACUCCGCGGUUUUGAGCAUAUACAGAACGCAACUUUUUGUGGUCCGUAAAUAGGUCUUGGUUGUAUGAGUACAAUUACAGUCGUUCUAACCGAUCAAGCAUAUGCGCUCCGAUCCCGUGCUUCGCUUCCUCAACUGAAAAAGAAUAGUGACCCACGUGACUCUUCGAAAGGCGUGGUAGGCGCUGCGAUAACCUCUCCUUUGUCGACUCUGAAAAAACUGGAAAUUCCCUAGCCAGGAUAGACAGAGGGACUCUUCCCCGAACUGAUAGCUAGCUUUCCAACUCAUUCCCUAGCUUGAACAAGGGCUUUCCUGAAAGGACUACUUCCCCCCUUUUCCGAACUCAUCAGACUAUUAAAGCAUAUUCGAUUCUAUCCUCGGUGCAACUUCUCUUCUAUCUUAUGCUCGGGUAUUUCAUAAAAGGUCAAGUCAAGUAAGAUAGAAAGUCAAGGCUCUUCUCGUCGAGCUACCUUCGUCUUCCGCUCCGUGGGGUCGAGCAACUUUCUUCCACGAAAGAACUGACUUCAGGUCCGGGUUAGGGCCAUAUCAAAAGAGUGAUAGUGCUUGAGCUUUCUUCUCGUGACCUUAAAGGCCUAAGAACCUUGAGUAGAAAGAAGGCAUCUUAUCUUUUUUCAUGCCUUUCCUUUUUGAUCGCCAUUCUCUUCUUUGUUCUUGUAUUUUCUGGGGACCUUCGCGGCUUUCUAUUUAAGAAUGGCUUUUUGGUAGCGCCUCUUCGGAAGGGUGAACCACUGAGAGGGUUUUUCCUAUAAGUCAGAAUCAAGUCUUCUCUCUUACCCGGGAAUCCCGUACGAGGGUAGGGAGAUGGAAAGAUCGGAAGUAGGUCGCAUGUGUCUUGAGUCUGAAGUCGAUGAAAGGCUCUCGAACUCUAUUCAAUGAAUUCAGUUCUUGCUCCUUCGGUUAGUGAAUGAGUAAAGAGAGGUGCAAAGAAUAUUGCGAGGAGCAUGAAUCUUUAACGGUUCGGAUUCGCUAGGGUAAUUCACAAGACCGGAAAAGAGAGAUCAGAGGUUUCAAAGUAGUUUCUCAUAUCCGUCUCGUCCGCUGUCCCACUUAAGGAUCGGAGUUCAGAGAGCAUGUAAUUGGGGUCAUGACAUAUGACUUGGCUAAAAGCCUGAUUGCUAGCUCGGAUUCGCACGUCCGGCAGCUAUUCCAUUGCGGGAUGCUAACCCGUCCUCCGGACUAUUCAAUCUAUUACUUUGGAGAUCUCGAACGGGGAAGAAAUCUCUUGACCAAUAACUCCAUUUACUGGGCGAAAGAUGUCUGACUUUCUACCGUGAAACCUUCCCGCUUGAACCAUGUUUAGAGUGAAAGGUUAGGCCUUGGCCUGUAGAUCUCAUUCAAUGCCCUACCAUCCGAUACUGGGAGGACAAAAGCGACUACUUGGACGAGGGGAUUCCCUUUUCUCUUAUUGUACGUCCUCGCAAUAUUCGAUAAUUCAGGCUUCGGACCGGUCGAGUUUACCGUUGAGAUCCAAUCCCUAUCCCCCGAUGUUCAUUCAGGACAUAAAGAAGCCGGGUCUGAGCCCACUACGCGGGCAUUGAAUGAGAUCCCUUUCUCUUCGUAUCUCGAACAAAGGCUUUCAUCCCUUGUUGGGGGGAGAGAUCUAGGGAAGAAAGAGUGGAAUGAGUUAGGUAAGAAAGAGGUGCUGCCCACGGAGCGGUGAACGAUCACGAGAAGGAAGAAGAAAGCUCAAGAGGAAGACUGAAUUAUGAUACAGAAUUUUGAUAUGAAUUAGGCUAAGUCAAAGUUGCUUGCUUUCUUGAACUCUUUUCUUUGUCUUUGGCGGAACGCCACUUUUCAAGAAAAAAUGGUAGUAUGGCUGGCAGCAAGAAAGAAUGAAAAAUCAGCCCAACGAAGUUGCAUCAAUAUGAAUCACUCUAGGGAAAGACCUGUUUUGCAAGGUUUUGGGGAAAUCGCUAUUUUUCAAGGGGCACUCAAAUCUGUCAAAAAACUACUAGUGGAACGCAUCGCAAAUUCUUUGCGCCUCCAAAAUCAUUGAAGCGAAAGGCUGAAUUCAUAUUCGCGGACAGUCAAAAUUCAAGAAAAAAGGCAGGUUCAAAGAAUAUUGACAAUGAAUGAAUAGUAUAAAUCCUUGUUGUAAUUUGCUUAAGACAUGAAAUGAGAUUUCUUUCUUAGACUGAUCCUACAGAGUCUUAUUCAAAAAUAAUAAGAUAAGCGGAAGAUUGAGUUUACGAACGAGAUAGAAAAGUAUGAAAUCCAUAUGAACUUCUUGGAAUGUGAAGAAUGAAGGACAUUAGGAAAAGCGGGUUCUUUAAAGUGCGAAUUCAAUGGCUGUAUUUUCGAUAAGAUUACUUGGGACAUAGCAGUCAAAAGCGAAAUCAGGCUUUUAGCCACAUUCAUAAGGCAUGAGCUUCUCCUUAAACACUCACUCACUUCUCCUUCAACUGGCACUGUACGAACCACCGCUACGUGGGCGUCAAGACCCUAUGGUCCUACUACUUCCCAGUCUCGGAUUCCUUCCUAAAGAACUGAAACUGCUUCCUACCUUCCUCGAUCCUUUGUUGGCUUCCUCUUGUUUUGGGCAAAACUGCGAAAGAAAGAAGUUGAGAUGAACAAGAUAAUAUAAGAUAAGAAAGCUCUUCCUCUUCGUCUUCUGUCUUCAGUUAAGUAAACAUUACUCUAAAGGUACGAAGAUUAGAUAGCUUGAUUAGAGUCCUUUACCGCGUAGUGGGCGUGGGGGAAGAUAGCUUGAGAAAAGAGAUCGAAGCAGGCAGGGGAAGAGGAAGACUACUCGUUAUGUUCGUGCCCAGACCAGAAAGAACUGAAAGACGGUCACAAAGACUGAAACCUCUCUUUCAACCACUGCGACUGCAGCAAGGGAUGCCCCAACCUCGGGUGGUAGAGAGAAGGAUGAUCGGCAACCUCGAACCCUUCCGCCGCAGGAGAAGGCGCAAAGAAUAUUGCGUGGGAAUUGAGUUGAAAGAAGAAAGAUCUAAGGAUCUGAAAGAGCAGCUUCAGCAACGGCUACUUCUGAAAGAAGAACAGUGACGACAUAAACUUCCGCAAGAAACUCCGCUUGGGUCCGGCCCGCGGCUUCGUUCUUCGAUCUAUACUAUACUUCGAUCCAAGAAUUCAGAGUUUGUGCUUUCCCUUGAACUCAGACUCCUUAUCUGCAGACAGCGGACGAUCCGACCCGCGUCUUCUUUUCAUGUGAUUUGACCGCUCCGACGGAGCAAAGUGAUUUUACCGAAGGACUCAAAUAGGUUGAAUAGUCCGGAGGACCCUCCCGCUCCGUGGGAAUUGAACCGCGGAAUUUCCGUGGUUAUUAAGCGGCUUUUUUUCGGAAUAAGACUUGAAAAUCAAAGUGGCAAUAAUCGCAUAUUUCAUUGCGCCUCCAUCAAAGAAAGGUCCAGGUGAUUUAUCCUACGUCCGGAGUCCGCAGUCCGCAGGGCCAAAGAAAGGUCCAGGUGAUUUAUCCGUAGGACCAUCCAUAUGGAGGGAAGGAGGACUAUCCAUUAGAAGGAUCAAAGAAUAGACCCGUAUUUCUCCGGACCAUAAACCAUAAGAAAACUCUGUUCAUUGAUUUGACCUUUCCUAGGAGUUCUUCUUUCAUUGCGUUUUCCCGGCUUUUUUGCUUCUAAAUAGGACUAAAUCAAAGAUUUCUAUUUAACGAUAAUUGUCGAAAAAUGACGGAUUUUUCAUGAUUUCUUGCUACUUUAUAGGCCCAAAACCUAGCAAAAUCUUGUAUUUCCCUCCGCGAAGGACUAGUCUGAAAUCUCCCAUAUUCACCUCUUUCUUUUUCAUUCCCAUUUUUUUCUUCUUUCAUUAUCGUUAAUGAGCUUCUUUUCGUCAAUAUUCUAUAUUCUUUUCACCUUUCUUUCUCCGUCCUCAGUCCUAUCCAUAUUAACCCGUCUGUCCUUCGGUCUUAAUACUCCUCGAAUAAGAAGCUGGAGGCUGGGUCAAGAUGAGAUUCUUUCUUUUCUGGCGUAGGAAUAAAGAAAGCACGGAGCGGGAAGAACUGGAUAACGUCAUUCUUUUCAUAUUUCUAGAGUAAGCGAAAGCGAAGCGCUAUGCCGGCGGUCUUUGAUCUCUCAUUUCAUUCAUAACGAAAAGAGCUGGCCGAAAGCUAUCUAUUUUAGGGUUCUUCCUUAUUCCCUUACUUGAUGGAAUGAGUCACUUCCAGAGAGAAUGAGACCUAGUUUACGAGUAAGCUGCCUGCCUGAUCAUCGGCUUUCCAGAGGCAGUUCGUACUCAGCCAGAUCUUCUUCUUUCCCACUACGCGCCAAAAACAAAGGUCUAUAUGAACUCGCAAUAUUCUUUGGGCCUCCUACGCUUAAUCUUAAUAGGGGGAUGAUCUUGGGCUCAAAGCAUUAAUUUUGGAGAUUCCCACUAAUAUAAUAAAAGGCGGAUCUUACCUUCCCACUUGCCUCAACCCAAAACAUUUAAGCGGAAGCCUUGUUCAAAGAAAGAAUAUUGAAAGGUCUUUUUGGCGUCACAGGAAUGGAACCCACCAUUUACUCAAGUCAAAGCCACACAAGAACUGGCUAGACACCAGAGGUACGAUUCCCCGCGCCCCUUCGUUGAGGUUAGAAGUCGAGACCCGUUGAGGAAGAAAGAGCUUAAUAAGAGGCCCAAGGGUGGAGGAAUCAGAGGAUCGACCCACUCAAGAGGCAGCACCCUGAGGCUACGGUUCGACCAGCUGUUGCAGUCGCAGUUGAUGGCAGGGAUGGAUCCCUUUAUGUGCCUUUUGUUCUUUCUUUAUAAAGAGUUGCUGUAGUUUUCAAUUGGCUUUUCCUACUUUUCUUCUUUAUAAGCAAUUAUUCAGAAAGGAGAAAAGAAGAAAGCCGUCAGUCCAAAGGAGCAGUGCAAAAAGGCGGAUUUUCAGUUCUUUCUUCCCUCUUCCGAUAAUUCUUUGAGCCCUCCCCCAGUGCAAAGAAUAUUGCGAAGACCGCUCCGAAGGAGUCUUAUGAAACCCGGACCCUUCUUUUUAAAGAAGAAGAAGGACUAUCCAUUAGAGCGCCUCCGGACUGGAGCCUUUCAAACUCCUUUUCAUGAGAAAAAUACAGGGUUUGCUGCAGCAUCAAAACCCUUGAUUGAAGAGCGAAAUCCCUUAUAUGCGAGGCCUAUCAUGUAAUCCCGGGAAUGAGCUUGAACCUUGAAAAAGGGUAUGUAGCGGUAUUAGAUUGGGAGAUCUGCCUCCUCAGCAGGAACGAGAACAGCCACUUUCUAAGAAACUUCUGCAAGAACAUCUGGUCGAGCCUUGCGCAAGAUAAACUGGAAUAGGCCGAUUCUUAUAUGGGUCCGACCUGUCAAUAUUCUUUUCACCUUCUGAAAGCAUGAAGUGAGGAUCUGACUCCUUUCCGAACCGAACCUACUCCUAACCCGAUGAAUUAGGCGCGUCCUCCCUCUUUCGCUGACUUCUUCUGAUUCUGAUAGCUCUCGCUUCGUACCAGGUGGUCGUAUUCUAGUCUUUGAUUUAUGCAUUCUAGAUUAUUUAGCUUGGGGAAUUUCUCCUCUUCUCCCGCUACUGCCACUGAAACUACAGCAUCUUCCUCAAACUCAUUUAAAAAGAUACUCACUUCUUCAGACUUUGAUUUUAGUAGGUUCAGACGUCCCCUACUUUGAGAUUGGGAAUAGAAAGAAGAGUAGUUGCCCUAGUUCUUGAUCCUCGCACUUUCUUGCUCUCCGAGUGGGUCAGCACCCAGGCGCCUGCUUGCCAUAUCGAGGACUUCUACCUUACUUAUGAUUAGUAAGAUGACGAAAGCUAUGGAAUCCACUCUGUCUAUUAUCCACCUCCUUCAACAUAUAUUUGUGAUAAUGGCUUUGCCACAGCGACUGCCUCCCUAUAUAUUUGUGAUCACUCUGCUGAAGCGGAAACUGGGUCUCCCGCUGCUUCGAUCUCUUGUCUCGCUCGCCCAUAACCCUAGAUCUUCGGAGUGGUCCAACUCUACGAACUUCAACGGGGGCAGCAGACUGCAACUGAUCAUGAAAGGGAUGAGGCUGUAGAAAGAGCACUUAAGCGGCCUCCAUCAGAUCUAUUUCAGUUCAGUAAUAGACUCGGGAAAGCGCUUGAGGUCUAAGGAUCGCCAACUUUGAAUAAGAAAAUACCGCCUCAAUGAACAAGGGGUUGGUGGCCGGAAACCACUAGACCUUGAAGAGGCGGAGGCGCAAAGUAUAUUGCCUUCCGAUUUCUUUUGAAUUGCUCUUUCAUUAGUUCUUCCCGAAGAGAAGUUAGCUAGGCCCAGAAGAGGGGAGAGAGGAAGCAACCCAAGGAAGGAAUUCUAGAGACGGCACAUAAAGGGAACCCCACCAGAUUCAGCCCCCACCACCCCGGAGGUUCUAGGUCGGCAUAGGUCGGCAGAAGCGAGACCGCUACGUGGCUUUCUUUCUUUGUCGGUUCUUUCUUCUCUUGUUCUUCUUCUCAAAUUCUUUGACCCCUCCCCCAGUGCAAAGAAGAAAAUAAAAGGGACCAGAUGUGAAAAGAAGAUUUCCAAGACUGGAAGGAUAGAAGGCUCAAUGCAGAAUAUUGCGGUUUGCGUGAGAGGCUCAAUUCAAAGUUCAGCGGGAAGAACUGGUCCGGAGGAUUUAUCCGUAGGACUCUAAAACGGAGGACCCAAAGAAAGAUUAGACAUUCACUCUUUUUCCAAGAAUUGAUGCACUUCCAUAAAGAUCGACUUAAGAAAGCAAGAGGAGAACCGGAGAGGUUUUGCUGGAUGAGAAGGAUCGGCCAGCCCAAAGCGCGAAUCUCACUAUUUUCUACGAUUCAGACUUAUUCCCCUUCCUAACUAAUGAGUAAGCGAAAGCGAAGCGCUAUGCCGGCGGUCUUUCACUGACGAAGCGAAGAGGGAAGAGAAGAAGAAUCCUACGGAGGGAUCGAAGGGGCCAGAGGCUAGGUAAUCUCUCUCCAACUAGCUCUACCCUGGUCACUGGGUCAAUAAUAGGUCCGGUGGGUAGGUUGUAUUUUGAUGAUAAAUAAAGGAUAAGGAAAAGCUUUUCUUCUUUCAUCUAGAUUUAGAAGGACAAGGUUUAUUCAUAAGCAGAUCGAGAACGAAAUCCUUUCUUAGGACUUGCGGUCUGUCUUCAUAGUCGGAGAUCAUCAAGGUGGUCGACCCGGUCGAUGUAGAUGAUCUAGAUAUAUUUGACCUAUAAAGAUAUGCGAGAAUAUGAGGUCUUCCAGACAGGAUAGGAAGACCCCCAGUCCGCGCUAUCACUUUCAGAGAAUACUCGGGGAAGGGGUCAAGACCUAUGCCUCAUCUCAUUCCGAGAAUAGUUCGAGAUCGGCUUAGCUCAUACCUCCCAGGGACCACUUUCUUCGAUAACCUUUCUGGGCGACUUCCUACCUCUACUAAAUUGAGUUAUUAUAUUUCAACGAUAUUAUGAAUAAUCUUCCCGGGCUAGUCCAAUAUCCGCCUAGGCUCCGAUACUCCUCUUGCUUCACACCUUCCCGAUCGAGCAGCCUGGUCUCCCCGCUUGAUUCAUGAAAGAGAGUUCUCCUUUACUCCCGAACCACUAAUAUAGGGAAUACAAUGCAAAAGAGAAAUCCUCAUCGAACCUAUGAUGCUUCCCGCUUCUACUUGGUGUGGGAAUCCACUUCUCAUUCCCCGAAAAGGUCAAUCUGGUCCUCUCUUCGGCAACUGAGUGAGACUUCUUCCCCGCUUAGAGUACGCAAGACUAAGCUAACUUCAACGACUGCCCGGUGGCCCGGUCGGUGGUCUGAGAGCUGAUCGAUGGAUGGAUUCGGAUUCGCCCUUCUUUCCUGAACUCAUUGCCGGUCUUUUGGUGUAGAAGUUUCUUUCAAAUAGAGCGUAAGGCCUGAAAGGUUCUGCAUUUCUUUGACUUUCUUAUGUCUUCCCCUCUUUCGACCCCUUAAAAGCCUUGAUAUUAGCCUUGGCAAAUAGCAGCCUCCACAGGAAGAAGAAUCCGCAUCUUCCGCUUCCCGCCUCAAAAUCAAGCGGAAAUCUUCAACAAGAUCCAGUCCAUCAAAGAAAGGUCCAGGGUCCGGAGUCCGCAGUGCCAAAGAAAGGUCCAGGUGAUUUAUCCGUAGGACCAUCCGUAAUUAACCGAAGUAGGACUAUCCAUUAGAAGCAGGAUUCUUAUCCGUAGUCCGGAGUCCUACGUCCGCAGGAUUUAUCCGUAGGACCAUCCAUAUGGAAGGAAGUAGGACUGGAAGAUUUCUCAAGAAUAUUGAGAAGAAAAAGAGAUGAAAAAGAAGAUUGAAUGAAUUAUCCCUUUCUUGCCUCCGCCGCCGUCGCACGAACCAUUUCUGAUGGCCGCGUCUAGGUGGAUUGUGGUGCUACCAUUUCUUUAGGAUACCCUUCGGCUUCAGUCAAAACUCUUCCCCCUUUGUUUUUAUAGAAAUUGAGUUUGAAAGAGAAAGAUCUCAUAGUAUGGAAUUCACUUUCUUGCUUGAGUGGAGUUAUUUAUUAUAGAAAAAUCCUUAAAGGAAGGACAAUCGAUCGCACUUGGCGCAGAACCACCUAAGGGUGGCUCUUUACUCCCUCUUUACUUGCUUCUGAUUUUUCUUUCAUCCAUCUUCAUCCCCUUUUCAUCCAAAAAAAUAGGCGAAGAUUCAGUCUGCUCCAGAAAGAAAAGAGAAGCCGGCAGGUCCUUUCCGCUUGAUCGCUAACGAAAGGGCAAAGCCUUGCCGCCCCUCGUGCAGCAUAUGAGCGGAUCUUCACGAAAACCGGCUCUAUUGGCGGAACAAAGAAAGCUCACUCUGCCAUGAGAACAAAGAAAGCCACACUAUCUCCUUGCAGCUUUGCCCGCCGCCCUUCUAUAUAUUCUUUGCGCCUAUCUUCGCCUAUUUUUUGGUCCGCUCGCCCCGGUCCUUAGUGUCGUUGACAAAGGGGAGGAGCCCCCCUCUUGUUGAUAGAGAGCUUACUGCCCCGCCCUUUAUAGUCGCGACUAUUGUCAUGGAAAAAGACUUUUUUGUCAAAGAAGCAUGCUUCAGCCUAUAGCCUAGCAUAAUAAAGGCAGUCGAGCUCCGUCUAAACUCAAUGUUGGGUAAAGGCCUGUACUCUCUCUUCUGUAGAUACGCUAUCCCUUCUGGCUAUGGUAUGGGGGAAGGGAAGUGAGAUCUACCGAUUGAUUUCAUAUUCAAUGAGCGGCCGUACUAUGAUCGUUCGGGAGACCUGGCCCAUGAAAAUCAAAAUAGAAGGAGCACCCAUGGAUGCACUCCUUCCCUUCCGUACACUCGAUCGCUUUAUGUUGAGGAAUCAGCUUAUGUAUCUAGCUUGACUCCCCCGUUUCACUCCUUCCCUUCUUUAAGGCCUUUCACUCCUAAACCUACUCAAACUCCCAGAAAGAGAAAGCCUAUGGCCGAAACCGAGAUCUCUUUUUCCAAGUCAAUCAAGAAAUCGGCCAAUCUCGCCCAUGGAAUGGAUGAGUUCGCAAGGAAAGGACGACCUUAACUUAACGGAAAGAUCUAAGACUCCUCUCUCUCGCCUUUCUCCUCUAAACUAAUAAGAAGAGCAGCUAAUCAGAGAAGACCGCGUAGUGGGUCUUUCUCUUGCACGACUGACUUUGUCUUUUAUAUAAAUACCCUGACCGCCCCGUGGGAGCCGGAGCCUUUUAUGAAGUAUUUAUUAGGUUCACGCUAAGAAAAAGCCUAGGAGAACUCUGAAGAAAGGGAAAGAACUCAAGCUAGGGUAGGGUCAGUCACAAUGCCCCGUCAACCUGUCCCCCCAACUCUGCCUUUAGCUAGACAUUGACCGCGUAGUGGUUCAUUUACCUUCUGCCCCCUGAUACUUCUCUCUUUCUUUUGUCAAAGUCGACCGAGAAAAGGAAGGGGACGCCGUACCAUGAGAUCGAGUUGGGUUAGCCCGAUCGACUACUAACUUCUGAGCCUUGCCUUUCUUGAAUAGCUUCUCCCCUCUAAGGAGUGAUGCUACGGUAGAAUCUCCCAUUCCUAAUGCGCCAGCCCUCGGGCAUGAAGUUAGAUUACUAGGCCCAUAGAGUGGUCCCUGGAAUUGCUUGACUUCUGCCUAUCAUUACUUGAAUUGUGGCACACGAGUGACGGAUUUGACAGGUUUAGCAUUGCCCAUAGCUUGAGGCCCGUCCCAUUCUGUUUGAGAAUUCCCCAUUCGCCGAUCCUGAGUUUGCGGGUUUAUGAUUGGAACGUCAAAUCUCACUUCUAGGGAUAGGCAUUUCAUUCAUCUUCUUUCUUUCGCUUGUUCAUAUCAACUUAUUCAUUCUUAGCGAAAGCAACUUUUACGCCGACUCAGAACCUACUAAACUAAACUCGACAGGAAGAAGACAAGACAACUCCUUUACCGGAGGCAUCCUUAGUGGUCCAGUCUAAGCCCACGGAGCGGGAAGAACUGGAUCAAAGUCUAAUCUUUCUCUGGGUUAAUAUGGAUAGUCAUCUGGACCCCUUAUAAUUGGGGGCCAUAGAUCUUUGCUCCUCGCUCUUUGCGCCUCUCUCAAAGGCAAUAUUCUUUGCACCUCCCCUCUGAAGUUCAGUCUCGUGUCAUGAAUUCUGAGUCUUCGUUCUCGCCCUUAUCAAUGAUCUUUGAGCCUUGUUCAUUGAUCCUUAUUGAGAAUGAAUUUCAGAUCUCGGAGUUCGAUCGAUCGGUAUGCGAAUGAGAAAGAUCUCUUCCCCAAGGCCGCACUCUGGAUUGUAAUAUGGUCAGGUAAUUUCCCUAUGAGUGGAUACAGUACGAGCCUAAUGCUCUUCCUUCGGGCGAGUGUCCUUUGGUCGCUCUUCUCGCUAUUCUAGCUCUUUCAGUGCUUUCAUUCCUUCUUUUCAUGCCCCGAAAAAAUGGACCUUCAAUCCCGGGUUGAUGCUUUGAACGUCAAUCCUGAGGGGAUGGGUUUUGGAGUUUCAUCCCAAGAAUCGAAUCAUGCCAUUCCGGGUUUAUGCUUUGAACGUCAAAUAAGUAGAAAAGGAGAAGCGAGCCUCAACUCUAUAAAAAGUCCCACCGGAACAGCACGCAGGUGGUCUAUCCUUCUCAAGCAAGUGGUCUCGAUCUCUCAGCAGAAUUCCUCAACCUCAAAGGCAUAGCGCUCGCUUGCUUUCAAGAGCUUCCUUUCGUACUUAAGAAAAGAGGGGGAAGGAGCUCAAGACGCCCCGAAGUACACUAAGAAGAAAAAGGUGUCAAAAGCUCAUAUUUGGGGAACUGCCCUUUCGUCCUCCCGUUCUGGAACAUCUGAUUACUGAACCACUUUCUCAUGGCACAGAUGUAUUUGGUUCUCAUAUUCAUUCAGCCUUGCGCGCACUCAUUCAGAAGAAGGAAGACGACCGCCUUUCCCGAGUCUUCGGGGCAGGGGCUGUAUUGGUAUGAUAAGUUGACGAGCGACGACUUUACGACCGACGACUUACUUAAGCAACUCCACGGGUUCGGAGCCGGAAGCGAAGCCUGAAUUCAUGAUCCACGCGUAAAGUACAGCUCUAAAAGGAGUGGAAGAGCUCGACAGAGAAGACGAAGGGAAGGAGCUUCUUGGCCGGAGGUAACUAAGAUGACGACCUGAUUUACCCUCCUUGGUCUUGCUUGCAUACCGCUUUUUCAGUCUUUGAGUACGCUAGAUCUCUUUGCCAAGGCUUAUAGCGAGCCUUAUCACGAGUAGGAAAGUCCAAAAAGAAAGAAUCUCAUCUCAAUAUCCUUUGAGCCGGAGUUAGGCGCAUAAUAUGGAUUUCUCAAUCUUCAAAGAGCCUUGUUCAUUGAUUUCAUGCUCCUCAAAUUCCCUAAUGGAUAGUCCUUCGGACCUGUCUUAUGGCGCCUCCGGACUAUUCAAUCUAUUACUUUGGAGAUCUUUCUCUUUCUGAUCUCUCUUUCGCUUUCGUAGGGAUAAGAAUUCUCUCUUGGAAGCAUAACAUCAAUAGGAAUCAGUCUCGCUUUCAGGUAGGGAUAGGAAGAGUGAGUUUGAGCUAUUCUUUCAUGAGAUCCUUCGUAACUAGGCCCAGGAGAGGUGGAAAUCGUAGGAUUAUUCGUUAUUCCGCUUGGCUUGACCGAGUCUCUAUUCCCCAUCUUUGAGUAAGGAAAAGAGUCAGGAAAAUCCGUGAUAAGCCAGGCUUUUAGGUUAAGUCAUCAGAAAAAGAAUAAAAAGGGAUAGGAAUGAGUAACUUCAAGAUACUUCCUCUUUCUCUAAGUAAGGACCUCUAAGAAAAAAGCCUAGGGAGAGGAGUCAGAAGCUUCUUUCCCGCUCCGUGGGUCUGACUUAGUUAGUUAGGGAGUCAGUCCCAGUUUCAUAGGUUGAAUGAGUAACUUCAUGAGAGUAGGAAGAAGAAUCCACUUUCAUGGGAAUCUCUCUCUCUCUUGAGUAAGCAUGAGAUGUUGCGAAUGCUACAGAGGUUAGAGUCAGAACAAUAGGAAGCGCGAACGGGUGAUUAGAAGGAUCGGAAUAAAGGCCGGCCAAGCAACCCCGGGGGUAGGAAUAGUUCUCAAAGAGUCAGACUGCAUGAGCAUGAGAAGGAUAGUUAUUCGGAGCAGCUCUCCUAAAUCAAGAAUGCUCAAUAGGAGGAUUUAGUCCAGGGGUCAGGAUCUACGCGAAGGGUCAAAAUAAGAGGAAGAAAGAGAAAAUAGUUAUGACUUUCUUAUCUACUUAUAUUAUAUCUUGUCACUAUCGGAUUAUUUCUUUCUUAGUUUCAUUCUCUCUUUCAUUCAAAGAGAAUCAUACUACUUAUGAAAAGCUGAUGAACCACAGAGUUUCCUCAAAGAAAAGGAAAGCCUACCGUAUUAGCGGCUCUUUUCUUUAUUUGUUGUUCUGAAUAUCCUCUUCUUAGGAAGGUGCGAAAGCCACUCGACUGAGUUCUAUCAGGCUGGAUUCAUGAGAAGCUAUUUUAUGACUAUGAAAACGAGAAAAAGAGAAGAGCAGAAGAGCUUGAUAAACCCCUUUUCAUAUGAUAAUAUCUUAUUCAUUCGCUGGUGGUAGGCUUUCUCUCUUUAUUUUGAGCACUCCCGCAGCUUUCUCUUGAAGAUAUAAUCUGAAUCUAGAAUAAUUCAGUAAAGACUUCGUAAAAUAAGUGGAAGGCAAUAUUCUUUGCGCCUCCGGAACCGCGUAGUGGGUAAAGCCUGAUCCUUCCCCUCUUGGGUUAGCAUCCUAACUAAUAAAUAAGGGUGGAGGUCCUUGCUUUUCUUGUUGCCUCACUCAGCAGCCUCAUCUCUGAAAGAGAAUUCCAAAAAAAAAGGUCCAGGCGCAAUAAGACAGGUCCGAAGGACUAUCCAUUAGGGGAUUUCGUAGAUCCAUUGAAUUUCAGAGUAGUUGAUUUUGACGUAGUUUUUUUCUCAUAAGAAAGCCUUCUAAGAAGACGUAGUAGUCAGAAAGAGAAAGCCUAGGUUUCGGAAUCAGUCUAUCCUUUAGACCUACCUGGCACCAAAGACCUCUGAAAGUAGCUGGGCUGUCGCUGGGGAAGGAGCUUAUCUUCAGUCAUAAGUAGUCCUUAGUUUCUUGAAUGCCUUUCCGGUCGAGCCUAACCUAAAAAAGACUUCAUGCUCCGGCGCGAUAGCGAAAGGACUUUACUUACAGGAGUGCAAGGAGCAAAGAUCGUGGCCCACGUAGCGGUGCCAUAAGACAGGUCCGAAGGACUAUCCAUUUGAGUUGCGUGAGUUGCCCCACGUAGCGGUGCCAUAAGACAGGGAUAUUCUUUGAGAGAAAGGUAGGUAGAGAAAGAUCAGUUCGCCGUCCCUGUACUUCAUUCAAUAAGGCUCUUUCAUUAUCUCUUUCGGUAUUCAUUCAUAACCAACCCGACCGGAAAGGGGGAAGACAAGCUAGGGCAUUAUCUAAGAUAAGAAGGAAGAGGAUCAAAGUAGCGAGACCAGUCCUCCGGACGGGAAGAAGAAGAUCGACUUAAGUGGGAAGCCUCAUCGGUUGAAGUAGGGUCAGAUCGGUAGCAUCGAGAGCCAGAAAAAAUAGCAUGAACAGACCUAGAGGAAGUCCAAGAUUCAAGCAAGGGAAGAUACUGAGUUGGAUCCGUGGAGGGAUCGGAUAGGAGCCGUUUAGGACGCCUUUCAUGAGAUCUUGCGGAUCUUCUUUCAUGAGUUGCGGAACCUGGAGUAAAGAAAAGAGGUCUUGACUCAUAGGAAGUAGUCCCACAUAGGAAGAGGCGCGUAUUCUCAGUUGAGGCAGCGGAAUCAGAGGCCGUAGCCCUUGCUGCUUAGUCAAAAAGGUAGCAUUCUCUUUUUCAUCCCCGUCUCAGAAGCUUUACUGAGUUGGAGAGUAAGCUGCCUGCCUGGCCUGCUUCGAUCAGUUUCAUAGUCAGAAGAAAGUAUCUCCAGGAGUUUGAGUGGAAUCUUUGCUAUUCAAAUCAGUUCGCAAUCUAAUCGAUAAUUCUUUGAGCCCUCCGUUAGGCGCAAAGAAUUUGCGAAGGACCAUCAAAGAAAGGUCCAGGGUCCUACGUCCGGAGUCCGCAGGGCCAAAGAAAGGUCCAGGGUCCGGAGUCCGCAGGGCCAAAGAAAGGUCCAGGUGAUUUAUCCGUAGGACCAUCCGUAAUUAACCGAAGUAGGACUAUCCAUAUGGAAGUAGGACCAUCCGUAAUUAACCGAAGUAGGACUAUCCAUAUGGAAAGAAGGGUCCAGGUUUCAUAAGACUCCUUCGGAGCGGUCUUAAUACUCCUAACGGAGGGGAGGCGCAAAUCGAAGUUUUGAUGCAUAAGGAAAAGAAGAAGACCGACUAAACCGUAGGCAAGGAAGGAAAGCCUAUCCCCUCCUCCUACGUCCCUCAAUCAUUGAUUGUAAUAGUCUUUCUUCAUUGAUUGCGCUCCGUAGUCAAAUUCUUUCUUUGUAUAUUCCGUCGUCCGCAAAUUCUUUGCUCCUCAAAUUCUUUGAGCCUCUUGACUAUUCAACCUAUUACUUGGAGUUUUCUACCUUUCAAACUUCUUCUUUCUCUCUUCUUUGUGCCGUAGGUUUUUUUUAAUAGUCUUGUAAAUCAUCAAGACCUACGUCCUUCUACGCGGCACUAUAUAAGACUCUGUAGGAGAAGUACUUUUGAGCUCUUUCUGACUUUUCUUUCUUCAGUAUUUAUUAGGUUCUUCUUUCGAAGAGGAAGAUUCAGAGAGAAAGCAAGAACGAACUACCGAUAUGAGGAGUUCUUCUAUUAUGUAAUUUCUCAAUUCUGGGAAUCUUUCUUUUCGAAUAAAUUGAUCGAAGGGCGCUAUCACUCUUUUAGUUAACGAGUGGGUUGGGUAGGCAGACCACUAACCUAAAUCAACCUCGGACUCGUCCGCUCCGUCUUCCCCUUUCUUUCUGCUUCUGCCUCAGCUGAAAGAGGUACUUCUUCCCCAGCCCCGCUCGAUACUGACUUUUCCCUUGCUUCCGCCGGCCCUACUGACUAUUGAAGUGACUCAUAUAGCAUGGAAAGGGAUAAUGGAAGAGCCGCAAUAUUCUUUGCGCCUCUUGUUGGAACUCAUGAAAGAUCCCCUGUUCAUUGACUUUCUUCCGAAACCCUUCGCUAACUCUGCCUCCCCAACUGAACUGAGGCUUCAGCCGACGACCCUACUAAUAAUCUGACUUAUUCAACCCACUACGCCUGCCCUAUCUUUUAUGGUCUUAUAAUUCCACUAAAUCCUAUCUUUUCCGCAAUAUUCUUUGCACCUUUCUUUCGGAGUAGCUCCAGCGUAGCGUAGCGGUUAAAGCUCAAAUUGCAUUGAGCCUGUAUUUAUCCCUCUGUUAGGCGCAAAGAAUUUGCGAAGGACUAUCCAUAUUAACCUGUGACGCAUCUGGACCCCUUAUAAUUGGGCCAUAGAUCUUUGCACCUUGCCUCCAGGAAAAAGAAAGCAGGAACAUAAAAGGAAAGAAAGCCUAGCCUGAAUGAACAAGGGGGGUUCUUUUCCAACCUCAAUGAGUGAGGAAAGACUCAUAGCCACGUUUUGGAGGGCCUUACAAGUAAGGUUUUGUACACAGAACCUAAUCCAAAACCCAGAAAUUUGGUACAAUAGCCUUACCGUGAAUAGACAUUAUAAUGUCCAUUUGGAAAAACAAGAAAAUCAAGAGUUUGCUUUGGCUUUCGAGAAAGACCAAAAAGAGGGGUUGGAUCCCAUUAUGAGGAAGAAAUCUUUCUUCGUAGCUCUUAGAAAGAAAGAGCAGCGGAAGCAUCCCGCUCCGUGGGUUCUUCCUAAAUUACCAACGGUUACAGAAGCGGGGAUGAAUCUACUCAACUUUGCAAUAAUACCCAUUCCGAGGAUAGAAAGCCCUCCCCAACGGCGGGGAGAGCAUGAACAAGAAAAUGGGAAUCUUCUUAUAUCCAGGGAAGAGGGAAAACUGAAUAACUAUGAUUAUGCGCUAUGGCCCCUAGUAUGAAAAACCUUCCAUUAUACAAUGGACUAUAAGGAUACUUUGAAAUAAUGAGAAAUAGAAGCUGUGCCAAGAAGAGGCGCUUUCAGCACUCUUGAGAAGAGGGAAUACUACAACAGGGGACGAGGGACCGUUCCGGAUACUCUAAAGGGACUCCAAGCAGCAUUAUUAGUUGUCUGAGCAAUAUUCUUUGCUCCUAACGUGAAUAUGGAUAGUCCUCUUAUAAAAAAGGCCUACUUUUAUGGGGUUCGGUUCUGACAAUUCAUUAGGGGUUCGCGGAGGAGUUCUUCCUCUGGAUUCUCGGAAAGUCUCAUUAGGAAAUUGAAUACCAUCAGGGGAUCCCAUACAAAGAGCCUAUUCUUAGCCGGGAGCGGAUAAAAAGAAGACGAUGAUGAAGGAUUUUCUGAAUCUUUGCUUGAGAGGACUAAAAACGUAUUCGCCGAGGAAUCGCUAUAAGAACCGAGUUGACUUUUUAGUGGUCUUUAAAAGAGGAGUUUCCCAGAAAGGAUGAUUUUUUCAUAGAAAGAGAGAGCGGAUUCGCUAGCUCAUACAUCGGGAGAAUCUCAGAGGACUGACUAGGAUUGGGAAUAGACUAAGAAAGAAGUUCAUAAAUCAAUGAACUAGCAAAAUUGUAGCCCUUGUUCAUUGACUACUCCCCUACAAAAAAGAAUGUGAAAAUGACCUCCAACUACUUAUUAAGAGAGAGAUCUGAAAGAGAAAGCCUAGGGGUUCGGUUUGAACGUCAAAUAAGAGAAGAGUGAAUUUGAAGAUUCUUGAUUUUGUUGGGGAGGCAGAAAGGUAAAGGUAAGAGAGAGAGUCCACUCGACCUUCUUUAGAUCUUGCGGAAGAAGCCCUUGUUCAUUGAGGCGGUAGCAUUCUAUCUUUCAGAGUCAUCCCUCUCUCUUUCAUGGGAAUCUCUCUCUCUUGACUAAGAGUCAGUGGCCGUAAGGCAAGAAUCCGCACUCUUCUUGAAGUCAGCUAUCCGGUUAGCGGCAGGUUAUCAAUCAGUAGCUCGAGGAUAGGAAGAAAGUAGCGAGAGAGGGCAAAGCCGGACCAUGAAAGGUAUCGAUAGUCGGACUUAUUUAUGGAACAUAGACCACUACACUAGGCUUGAUCUUCUUCAAAGCACUCCCAACUUUUCCCUAGGCUGACCUCUUUUAUCCACAGGUUAAUAUGUCCUUAUCAAUGAGACGGGUACUGGUACUUCCUUUUCCCCUGCCUUACCUUCUACCCUACUUCGGAAAGAUCUCAUUCCCUUGAAGCAGCAAGGGCCCUUUCUGCCUCCCGUUCUUUAAGUGGGGGGGUGGAGGGGAGGAGUAUUAUCCCCUCGGUUCGGAGAAGCCUUUUUGGAUCGAAAAAGAAAGGUCCAGGUGCUUUGAAUAGGAAUCACUCAUAUUGCAUUGAGCCUUAAGAGUCUAGUCAAUAUUGAACCUUCGGACUGGUCUCGCUGACUUACUCAGUAGUCGGAAAGUGAAAGUGGAAUUCUCAUCAGUCCAAAAAAUCGCCCUAUACAUGAAUUUCAGGCGGAAGGUGCCAUACAUAAGACAGGGAUAUUCUUGGACUGGGAGCUCAGCUUGACUGGGUGGCUGGCAGAACCAGUCUUCGGACCUAGACCAUGAACUGGAGUAUGAAUCAAAGAUCAUGUGGAAUCCUUCGAGCCAAGCCAAGCCUAGUUAUUCUUGCUGUCGGGCUCCGCCCCUUAUACUUAUGACCCUAGCCGUCACGGAUCUGCUUUAACGGAUUGGUUUACGCCUAGACGGAGUUCAAUCAGCGGAUAAGACAGAGGAAGAGCGGAUCAGCCGAUCUUGCUGUUUUUACCGCGUAGUGGGUUACGGAUCAAGUAGUUCAAUACAGGAGGUGGUCCUCCGAAAUCAAGGCUCAAAUCAAGGCUCAAAGAAGAUUGAGAGUUUACAAAUCCUCCGAAAGCAAGGUGCAAAGAUCUAUGGCCCCAAUUAUAAGGGGUCCAGAUGACUAUCCACUAGGGAAUAUUGCGAGGCGAAGGACUUCUUUAUCAAGCUUGUCUGAACAAAGGCUUUCUGCUCGAGCCGCUUCUUUGCUGAAGUUUCCUACGGAGCUUUUGGAAUAAGACUGACUAAAAAGGAGAAGUCCUUCGGAGCUCUUUCAUUCUCUCUUUGUUUACAAGGUAUCGGAAUGAAAUCGAGACCGCCCACGGAGCGGGAGAGGAAAAGGAAACCCCAGCGACCAAGCACUUCCGCUCCCAGGAGACCGAAGAACCGCCAAGUUGUCGAGGACACGUCUGAGGAGGAGGCGGGCGCCGAUUUACCACCCUACCCACUAAUGGACUAUGAGGGGGCAGGCGAAGGGGAACCUACCGAGAACCCGAACCGCUUGACUGACUGGCCCCUUCAUACUCAAUUGAAUUAGGGUCGAGGAUGGAUGAAAGCCAAUCAUAAGUGCAAAUCGCGCAAGCGAAGCCGGGAAAGGGACCGCUGCGCAAGGACUAGGACUCGUGUCCGAGGAGUUUUGAGCGUGAGCUACCACUCAUGCAGCGGCAAAGACCCGCAACUCUCUCAGAGGAAGAGGCCACCAACCGCCCGAUGUAGCAAACCCUCCCUUUACUCAAUGGAUAGCGCUUAUCCUCUUUCAAGAGAAAAAAGAAGAAAUGAGGGGACGUUCUGAUUGCCAUGAAUGCUGCGCCUUCGAGGACAUGUACAAGAAGGUCUUUGCCGAUUCCUAGAAAGAUGGUGCACCUCUCCGUAUAGGGGCCCGUGGAGACUUUGACCGAAUUCAUAGGGAGAAAUGAAUAGACAUUUUGAUUGACCACUUUUUUCGUGAGCUAUGUGCUGACUGGAUGCGUACUCGCGUGAUUGAUCGAUGGACGGGGGAAUUGCGUGAAUGAGGAGACCGGCUUAACGUACGUGUGACCCGCCCGCUAGGGAAACUGGCUACUGGAUUCGUGCCCAGCGCACCUUACCGUAAGUGGUCUUGGGAAGCUUCAGUUCUCUAGUUGGAUUCUUUCUUCUUCUUUCUUUUAUUAGAACUUGGAUACUGCUUUGGAGGCGCCCGCUUUCUUUCUCUCUGGAGACUCCGCUUUCGCUCGGGUAGGCUGACGUAUACUUCUUUAAAGAAAUUAGCUCUUGUUUCCUGACUGAACUUUUCUAUUCGCUUGUUUGCUUCCUCGCUAAUCCGCCGCUCCCUUCCAGGAGCUACACCCCAUACAUCCUAUUCAGAAAACCCGGGAGCCGGUAGCAGCUACCGGCCAUUAACCAGAGGGGUUGGAAAGAAUAUUGACGAAAAGAAGAAUGAACUCAUUAACGAGAAUUCUUCUUGAAUAACCUGGAGUGAAAUAAAGAAUAGACCUCUCAGUAUCCGGAACACAAACUAGAAGUUCUCAAUGUGAAUUUCUUUGACCUAGAUUUUUCUAAUGGACCAGUUGCAAUUUCCCGGCUUUUUUGCUUCUAAAUAGGACUUUUUCGACUUUUCUUAUCUAACGAAAAUAGAUCAAUUUUGACUGAUUUUUUGUCUUUUCUUGCUACUUUAUAGGCCCAAAACCUAGCAAAAUCAUGGAAUUCACUCCGUCUUCAUUAAGCAAAGAUGUCUGAAAUCUAGCACAAAGAUGUCUGAAAUCUAGCAGAUUCAUAAUUCUUCUUGAAUUCGAGUUAUGAAAUCCUAAUUAUUCUUUCAUUAUCGUUAAUGAGCUUCUUUUCUUUUCGUCAAUAUUCUAUAUUCUUUUCACCUAUUCAUAUUUCAUUGAUCCUAACCUUCGUCAUCAAAUCCCCUAAUGGAUAGUCCUUCGGACCUGUCUUUGCGCAUCUUUUCUUUUCUUUAUUUUGGAGCGGUCCGAAGCCUUAAUUUGAUCGACUCCUUUUUUAUGCUGCGUAGGAGGACGGGUUCCCCAAGAAUAUCCCUGUCUGUCUUAUGGCGCGACUUCGGACGGAUAAAGAAAUUCUAAGAGAGCUUUGACGUGACGAGUGGAUGCCUAGUUUGAAAGUCUUGCCACUUGAGGGCUUCCACCCACGCUUCUGGCUGACUGUAAUAAGGGCUAAAGAAGGAUGAAACAAGGGAUAUGAAUGGAUGGUCUUUCCUCUCAAUCGAGUGGUGUAUUUACUAGCUUGAAGAUCAAGAGGUUUUUUCCGUAAAGAAAAGAUUUGGAAGAUUCGGCCAGUUCCGGGCGUAGUAGAAGUACCGCGUAGUGGGCAAGGUAGAUAAAGAGAGGUUUGCAUAUGUUUCAGACAAGGGUUUCGUACAAAUACCUUCCCGUCUUACCGAGACCAAGUAGCUAUCCAGGAGCCAAACUCCAAAUGAGAUGAGGUGCAGGAGUUCAGGAUCGGAAGCCUCUCACUGAAAUAGUAAGCGAAGCGCCCAAUUCAAGGUCUGGAGGUGUGCAUAGGUUGGGCUUUCUAGGUAAUGCGCUAUCAGGCGAAUGGGCGUGUCUGAACGAGUGGGGAAUUUUUCUCUUUCCCUCUACAAAGAAGGUCAAAUAGGUGCCAUGGGCCAUGAAAUAUGAGAAUCCCGGCUUCACGGGCGCGUGCGUAGGCAAACCCACUCUUUGAUCGGAAGAAAGUCAAGAAUUAGGCGAGACCAGUCCAUAAAAAAAGAAAGCUCCAGAUGAGUUUCAUUGAGUGCUCAUAUAAUUUUCUCGAUUCACUAUUUGAUUUUGAUUCAAGGACCCACCUCACAAAGGGAGUUGGUCAUAGGGGAGGCACACAUAGGAUCGGCGGUUCGGGUUAGGGACGGGUCGAGGUAAGAGGAAGCGUCUGCUUGACUGAGGGAGGUCUUCUUCGAUCAGCGCUGGUAAGAUGAGAUUCAGGCCAAAGAAGGCGAUUGAAAUCCAAGGAUGAAGAGAAAGAAAUCAGCCCCGAUAGAGGCUCAAGAGAUCUCAUUCAAGGCCCAUACUCAUUCAAUUCAGGCAAAGCCUCAACCUAGCCUUGUUCAUUGACUUUUCUUAAGGGGCCUUUGUCCUCGUCGGCUAUUCAUUAUAGGAUUGAUUAGAAAAGCGUGAGGCUAGUGAAAGCGAUCCUAGUCUCGACUUGGUCCCUCUCCAAACAUCCAAAAAAACAAAUAAACUACUCGUAGUCUUGGUUGGUUGUUUUCUUCCUCUUUAUUCUGAAUUCUGAUAAUUCCCUCUCGAGCCCAGUCCGCUUCCCCGUACUCUUAUUAAGAGAAUGAAGCAGACUCAAGGCCCCUUAAGAGAAUGAAGCAGACUCAAGGCCCCUCCUUCACAGGGGUUUUAGGGAAUAUCGCACUAGUUAUCUAGUGCGGGCAGGUGAGAUCUUUUCCAGUAGCCCACCACCAGGUCAUAUCUCUUUUUGUCUGCCUUUGUGCGAAAGGAAGGAGAAAUUCAGGUUUCGGCUUAUGGGACGGGUCAUAGACCUGAAAUUCUAAGAAAAUCGAAGGUAAAAGGUAAAAGCACUUGGAUUGAUUCUCCUCGCUUAUCAUCCAUGGGCAAGAUUGGCCUAUUUCCUUAUUUAUUUACUUGGAAAAAGAUUCAUCGUCUUUCGACCAUAGGCUUUCUCUUUCUGGGAGUUUUGAGGCCGACGGCCUGGGAGAGAUAUGGGAGAGCAUACCGAUCUCACAAGAAGAGCAAGGGAAUCAGCAAAUGGAAGAAAGAAGACUGACCACUCAAUCUGGUGGAGCAAAUUCCUAUCCUGUGGGUCCUACCGCAUAGUAAUUGAAUACUCUUUCAUUUCGGACUGCGCGUAGUUAGGAUAAAAGAGGUCUGGAGGACCCGUCCGGAGGACUCUGAUAUUCCACUUAUUUGACGAAGUUCAGUUAUUCACACACGGAUACCUGAAUUUCAUUCCUAUGAAAGGGCUUUCCCCACGUAGCGGUUUCGGGUGAGUCGGGUCUUUGACGGCUCCCACGUAGCGGUUUGAAGCCUUGUCUUCACAUCUUCUUUGGGACAUGGACAUUUGGAGGUUUCUUAUCUUUCUAAUUCUCCUCGAGGAAGGCCUUGAAUAAAGAAAAUAAUCCACAAACCAGAAAGUUCAUUCCACACCACUAUAUGCUAGGAUACGGCUUGCCUUUUUGGAUUUAGACUUUCCCAAGUUAGUAUGUUUUCGACCAGAGUUUUUCUCUGAGGAAUGGCAUGGGAUUUCUUUUGGCCAGCGGUAAGAUUGGAAAAGAAUCCUUCUCAAUCUCUUCGACAUAAAUCCUUCUUAUACGAAAUUCUUCAUUUUGCUAAAACUGAGAAAAGUUAUUAAAACUAAUGAGGUACGGAUUCUCCGACUUUUGGUACGGAUUCUCCGACAUUUCCCUCUAUAUGGAGGCUACGCCCACUAUUUGGGGGGAUUCGGAGGCUUCGCCCUCUGUAUUUCUUUCUACUCUUCUGUUUUUCCUAGCUCUUUCCUUGAAGUUCAACUCGCAGUUCAUAAUGAAGCUUGCUCGGCUUCCUUCGCUUCCUUCCUAGAUCUCCUUACAUCACUCUCUCAUAAAAUCAAAACAACAAAUUGAAAACAAGAAAGAAAUUAGCUAGGAUUCCGCCUCGCAAACUCGGCUCCCUUCGCUUCCUUCCUAGAUUACAUAUUUACAACUAAAUUCAGAUUGAAAACAACAAAUCACUUUCUUGAAGAAUUAAAGCAAGAAGACAACUUAGAUUCAAUCUCUUAACAAAGAAUAUCGUUAUUGAUUGAUUCAAAGGAUAGACAAGCAAUUCAAGUCAUCGUGGAUAAAGGGCAUCAAUUCUAGCUAGGUUUCGUGAGCUCAUUCUCUUCUAUGAGUGGCUGGCAGAACCAGUCUUACCUUCUACACCACGAACUGGAGAUUUAUUCGCUAGUUCUGGUAAGCUGACCAAGCGACGGUGGCUCCAUACCUCUUAUGGGAAUAAGGUAGGAAAAACUUCGAUGAAAGGUACAGGCUACGCCUUCCCUUUUUCGAGUUUUUCUCUUUGGUGAAGGGGGAAAGCCUGAUUUUUCAGUGCCUUCGGGGGUAUAUAUGCAUCUAUAUUUCUGAAGGUCAAAAGAGCCCAAGCCUUCGGGUCAGAACCCCUUUCAGAGACCCUACCUAGCCUCUAGCCUUGCGGAUAUGCCAUUUUCGGAGGAGACCAAGGCGCAAAGAAUAUUGCUCGAAAGAGGAUCCAUAAGACAGGGAUAUUGUAGGGAGAGAAGCGGAUAAGACAGAGGCAAAGAAUUUGUCAUUACGGAGUGAAAUCAGCGGAUAUUGCAUAAAGAAGCCGAAAAAAGCUCUUUUUACCUCAUUUGGCUCUAGGAUCAAAUCACACAAUUACAGAGGCAGGGAUCUUGUAAGCUUCUUCCCCGACAAAAACUAGGUUCUUAGACGGAUCUGGUUUAACGGAUUGGUUUACGCCGUCACGGAUAGACAUCUCUGUAUUCCCUUUUCAAGGUAUGUUUUCCGCACUUUGACGAGCCUAAACAUAUUCAUAAUUCAAUGCCUCGAGUCCUUUUCCUCGCUAAUAGGUCCGGCCUGUAGUCCGGCUUUUCCAUCUUUCAGGGAUAUCGAUCCGGCUGCCUCUAUAUAUUCUUUGCGCCUUCAUACUUUUCCUUUUUUGGGGGUAGGGGUAUAUUUUCUCAGCUCCUCUACGGGAGCUUCGGUUUUGCUAGAAGUCAGCCGAAGUUUCGGCUUUUCCUUUGGACUAGAUUGCUCGGAGUUACCAUUAAUUCAUAAUUAAUCAAAGAAAUAAUUAACUUGUUCUAUGACGAAAACGAUCAAAAAAUCGUGGACAAAGGGCAUCAAUUCUAGGACUUUUCCGUGAGCUCAGCUCGACUGGGUGGCCGCUAGAUCCGUCUAUUUUUCAUAUAUAUAUAGACCUGACUCUGACGGAGUUCAAUCUUUCAAAAAAGCAUAUAGGGACGGAAGUAGCUCGACCAUAGGAAGAGGGACGGAUCCACAGACAAUGCGAUAUAUACCAGGGUUACGCGUAGCUGAAAAACAGUGUCUCAAAUUUGUAUUUUCUUCGAUCUGCUUUUUUGAUUAAAGUACUAACUUUGGGAAAAGAGGAUUGGGAGUCAACUCUGACUAUUUUUCUUUCAAUGGAAGUAGUUACCAACAUAAGCCGAUAUUUGUUAAUAACCUUGUCUCGCUCUGAGAGCGGAGAAAGAGGAAGUCAAAAGGAGAUUUUCUUCCAAAAUCCGGUGGCAUUUCUCCGCAAUAUUCUUUGCGCCUUCUCCUCAUUCAUAUGGAUAGGACUGAGGCUCCAUAAGACAGGGAUAUUGUAAGCCGAAAAAAGCUCUUUUUACCGCGGCGUAGUGGGUUACGGAGUUCAAUCAGCGGAUAUUGCACAAGCCGAUCUUGCAAAAAUGACUGUUUUUGUUAGUCAUUACGGAGUUCAAGAAUAAAGAAGAGCUUCUUCCCCGACAAAAACUAGUACACUAGUAGCAGAUUCAAUAUUCUUUUCACAUCUGCUUCCUUUUAUUUUGUUGAUUGCGAGAACUUACUAUAACCACUAACUGAGGAGAGACUGAACGGAUCUGCUUUCUUUCUACGUUUUCCGCACUUUUACGAGCCCCAACAUAUAAAGACACUAAGCCCCUUCCUUGAGUCCCUUCCUUGUGAGUCCGGCUUUUCCAUUUAAGAGGUCCGGUUCUCGCUAACUAAUAGGUCCGGCCUGUAGUCCGGCUUUUCCAUUUAAUAGGUCCCUUUCUCGCUAACUAAUAGGUCCGGCUCACUAAUAGAUAGGUCCGGCCUGACGUCCGGCUUUUCCUCAGGGAUAUCGAUCCGGCUUUCAGGGACAGGGAUAUCGAUCCAUCCGGCUGCCUUUUUCGCCUUCAGACUUUUCCUUUUCUUUCGCAUCUAGACCCCCAUUGAGCCUUUUGGUUUUUGAGGAAAGGAUAGGGGUUUAUUUACUCAGCUCCUUGAAGGGAGCUUCGGUUUAGCUAGGAGUCAGCCUCGCAAACUCGGCUUUUCCUUUGGACUAGAUUGCUCGAAAGUUCUAUAACCACUAACCACUGAAAGGUGGCUUCGCCCUCCAUAUUAUUUGCUUACUGCCCCCCUUAUAUUUUCAGAACCGACUUCUUGAUGUUCUUGCUCGCGUAGCUCGCGCGCGCGUAUGUUAACGCUUUGUGUAUGCUCCCCACUCGCUCCCUUUUGGAGUGCGCUCGGGGAAGCUUCUACUAAGCGCAGGAUUCUCUUCCUUUAACAUUCUUUCUAUGUCUUACUAAAGUUAGCUACCCAUCUCCGUCAGGCUCCCCCCCGCAAAUUCUUUGCUCCUCCACCUCUUGACCCAAGCUUUGGCUCUGAACCAAGACCACCCAGGAACAAGCAAGAAGAAGAAGGAAGGAACUAACUAAUGAAACUAAUGAUUCGGUCAAGAACUAAUGAUUCAGUCGCUGCGCUCCACACAAGAAGAACUAACUAAUGAAAGAUCUGAACCAAGGGUAAAGUUAUCCAUCUCCGUCAGGCUCUCCCCCGCAAAUUCUUUGCUCCUCCACCAAGCUUCGCUCUUCACCAAGACUACCCCAAAUCCUACAACCCACCCAUCUUCCGAAGUCUGAAUAAUAUCCGUUCAGGGCAUCUCUGCCAUUAUCUCUUCCUUAUCUCUUCUCUUCCUCCUCCUUAGACUUUAUUACAGGGCUUCGCCCCUCACACUUAUCCUAUUUUAGCCUGCUUAAGACAGAAUGUAUACCUUUCUUUCCUGCUCUUAGCUCUUAGACUUUAUUACAUUACAGGGCUUCGCCCCUCACACUUAUCCUAUUUUAGCCUGAGCUAACUUCAUUUUCUUUUCUGAGCUAACUUCAUGUUGGUGGUGUUCUAACUCGGCUCGUCUUACUCACCUCGCAUCUAUGUUAACGCUUUGUGUAUGCUAGCCGCUCGCUCCCAAAGUACGCUCGGGCUAGCUUCUAGAAAGCGAAGAUUCUCCCUCUCAGGAGAUUAACCUGUGAAAUUCGUCUCUGAAAUUAAUAAAGAAAUCAUGUGAAAUUCAUCUGUUAAAAGAAAUCAUUAAGAAAGAAGUUCUAGUCGUGAAAUAGUUGAUUCAAACGAUGUGUGCCCGAAAGGCUUAUGCCUUGACUAGGGACAUCGUGGACAAAGGCGCCAUAAGACAGGGAUAUUCUUGGACUGGGAGCUCAGCUUGACGGAGUGGCUUACGCCUAGCCGUCACGGAUAGACAUCUCUGUAUUCCCCUUUCUUUCUACGUUUUCCGCACUUUUACGAGCCUCAACAUAUAAAGACAGGUAGCCCCUCGUCAACUCGGUAAAGCUGCUUCGCCCCUUCCUCGAGUCCUUUAAAGACACACUAAGCCCCUGCCUUGAGUCCUUUUCCUCCUUUCAGGGAUAUCGAUCCAGCUAACUAACUAACCUAACUAAUACUAAUCGGUCCGGCCUGACGUCCGGCUUUUCCUUCCAUCUUUCAGGGAUAUCGAUCCGGCUGGCUCUGGCUGCCUUGUUCUUUGUUCUUUAAGGGAUAUCGAUCCCUCUCCUUAUCAGUCGAGCCCUUGUUCUUCUUUUUUCGCCUUCAGACUUUGAUUUUUCUUUUUCUUCAUACUUUCUUUUGGUUUAGGGAUGGGGUAUACUUACUCAGCUCCUUGAAGGGAGCUUCGGUUGUUCUAGGUGUAGCAGAGCUUUUUUCAAGAUUGAACUAGGAAAGAAAGAACAAGUCUGUGUUAAGCAGGUGCAGGCAUUUCAAGAAUCAGAUCCCCUAUUUCUUUAUGGAUGUCAUUGACUCUUAGGCGAAGGACUCUUUCACUUGCUUGUUGGACGCGCGCGCUAGAACUCCUCCCUUGAAUAGGUCUUUUCAGUUCGUAUUCCCGAUACAAGGUCCUAAGACGCUGGCUAGCUCUCUAUAUUUCAGAGACUAAGCUCCGCCUUAGAGGUUUCCAUGGGGGUCGGGGUGGAGAUCAAGCAAGGGAUGCAAAGCAAUGAGACCGACCAGGAGCAUAUGGCCAGAGAAGAAGCUAGAACUCAGAAAGCAAGCCGCCGUAUCGGUGCAGCAGGGAUCCCACUAUUAGUUCCAUUAAUAAGUCCUUCGCUCAAUAGGGUAGUAGAGUCCUCCGGACGGAAUAUGGAUAAAAAUCAGUCAGCUAGACACUCUAUUUUAGGCGCAAUAUUGCGAAAAAGCCUUGAUGGAGAAGGAGCUGAACUUUGAAUUCCUUCUUUAUCAAGGGAUAGGCUCUUCUUUGCGCUCCUUAACACGUAGGAGGAGAUGUAGUGCCUCCAGUUUGCGCUCCCGUAGGUCUUGUCUUAUUCUCUUAUAUAAGCUUGCCUUCGCAUGUAGGAGUUUGCCCUUGGUUCUUGGUCUGCCUUGCCUACGGCGGUUCCUUGCCUCCCUCCGGUCUGCAGUCCUUCGUCUUCUUCGAUCAGCUCUUUCAAGCAGCUAUAUAGGAACUCUUCCCCAAUCCUACUUCGCAUUAGUACUACACAACCCCCUACGCCUUCCUUACUGUCGCGUAUCAGCUGUAAGAAUAGCUUCAGCUAGAGCAGAUAUCCCAGGAAAUGCAAAAUCUCCGAAUCGUCUCAUCCCUUACCCAGGAAGCCCCGCAUGCCUUCAGCUUCAAACCGGGCCUCAUCCUUGUUCAUUGAUUUCACCUGUUGAGCUACUGCAUUCCGAAACCGCUACGUGGGGGUCUGGGCUAGUUAGUCUAAUGAUCUGAGUUCUUGCCUUGAUCUCUUUUCACUUCUUCCCUUUCUUCCGAUCAUGUUAUGAAAGAUCUAUAGAGAGGACUUGCUCUUCGUAAUCCUGUAUUCCGAUCCUUUGUCUCUGGGAUAUCCCGAUUCAGGUCGAAUACCGCCUCAAUGAACAAGGGUCAAAGAAGAUUUCGAAGACGAGACUGGUCCGGAGGAUAGGCUUUCUUUUCCUUGGCCGACUACGCGGUAGAAAAGCCAACCAUGGCGAAGCGAAGGAAGUGCUCUGGAAAGGGCGGGCUGGGCGAACUCGGGAGUGGAAGAAGUUGAUGUCCCCGGGAGUCCGCCUGAGAUCUAGAUCUUUCUCUUUUUCUUGCUUGAGGUCUGAGAUCGGAUCCUUCAUUCAUUCGUGACUCGUGGCAUUGAACUUCCUUUUCUUAUAAUAAAUCACCUUCUUUCUACAGUGAAAGCUUAGCUUAGGCUGACGGCCUUGGGAAUGGUCAAGAGAUUAGAACCAACCGCGUAGUGGGCAGCCUUCCUCAUCACCCUAGAAGGAGCCCGGAUCCUGAAAGGGGGACCUAUGAUUCCGCUGACUCAGCAAGAAUUUGAGGUGGGGCGGAGACUGAAUUUUCCUCUCCUCUGGGACAGAAUUUCUCUUGACUUCUGAUUCCGCUCUUCUCUACGAGGAUCCCGUAAUAAUCAGACUGAUUCUUUCUCCUUCUGCCGAAGAAAUAGAGUCCCGUCAGUCCUUCCUCUUUGUCGAGUUUUGCGCUUUCUUUCCAAAAAGAGAAUGAAAUCACGUAUUUUCAGAGUUAGAAGAUGGGAAUCCAAGGAUUUCUCCUUCAAGGCCGACGGAAAGAGAUUGUACACGGAUCCUCCUGGUUUUCUUCCUGCGAGUCAUCCUAUUAUUUCUUCCUUUUUCUACUUCUUCCUAUAGAGGUUCCUAUUUCCCAACCAUGAAUAAAGACGGGGGAGGUCCCUUUCAAUCCCACCACUAAUAGACGAGACGAGGGUAGAUGGGUCGCCGGAUCAGUAUGAAGCAGCGGCCGGGUCAGAGUCAGGUUGCAUCCCUUUCAGGAAUGAGAAGGAUAGAGGAAGAGUAACAAGAAAAGCAAGUUCAAAUAAACUAAGAUUUUGGGCUAGUGAUGAAAAUAUUCAAGAUUCCACUAUUCGAAAGCCUAUCCUUUCUGAGAACCUUCUGACUUAUCUUCUUUUUUAGAACCGUCGAAGAACAUUUGCCAGAGGAGUUGAGUCUUCUUCUUCGCCUACCGCUAAUAGAAUAGCUGAGUCCGGGAAAUGCGUCCCCUUACUAAACUAAGAAAAUCAAGCUCAUAGUCCGGACGGGAUGAUCCAUCCGUAGGUGGUCUGCUAUUGCCUGCCCCUUUCCUUACUCAUUUAGGGCUUCCCCUUGCUUUUACAGAACUCUGAGAGUCACAUCUGCCACCUUCCUGGCCCAUUCAGGCUGGCUUUGAAAAGAGAUACUGAAGCGGGUCCAUCCUUGCAAUCAGCAUGGUCGUAUAGUUCAAGAUGUAGUGGCGUAGGCUUUGCGAGGCUCAUGGUUGAGCACAACCGCUUUUUUCUAGAACCGUAUACCUUGUCUCAUAAUCAGUGAACUUCUUGCCGAUCUCGUAUAUUGCCCUUUCUUUCCUACCAGUUUCAUCUCAUCGUGCUGACCAAGGACAGACACAACUCAUGGAUGCUUGAAUUACUUACAGAUAGAUGCAUCAGGAUAGGCUUUCCUCUUUUUCCCACGGAGCGUCCGUCCGAAGGACUACGAAGGAGGACGCCUAGUUUUAGUGGAAAAUAAGGGUCCGGAGGCUGAAUGAAAUUCUCUAAUGGAUAGGACCCACGGAGCGGUGCAAUGAAGCGUUGUAAGGAGCUUUUGUUUUGAAAGUGGCCUUUUUUAUAAGAGGACUAUCCAUAUUCACCUUAGGAUCAAAGUCAGCCCACGGAGCGGAACAUAAUCAGACUGAGACUUUAAUUCGAUCUUCAUUCUCCCACGUAGCGGUCUUCUCGUAUGAGAUCUUUCGAGGUUAGUUACGAAGGAGAGGCGCAAAGAAUAUUGCGAAAAGCCUAGCCUUUGAGAAUUUUCAUCUUCGUUCUUUCGAGAAUGAGGAGGCCCACCUUUCUUGCUCCUUCCGCCUGCUUGCGUGCUUGGAGAGGAUAAAGGUGCUUCGACUCUUAAUAAUGCAUCUUCUUUAGAUAAAGGCCGCUUCCCGGAAGGAAAGGAGUGGAGAAAGGGUCCUUCUUCCUCCCCUCCUUUCGAGAUCCUCUUUUCUAAGAACCUGUAAUAACUCCUCGUCAACUAAGCUCUUUCGCGCUAUCGUAGUAGCUUGACUCAGUAUUAGGUUAUUCAGUUCCCACCCACACUCGUAGGUUCCGAUCAAGAGAGGUGAAUCAGCUUUCUUUCUUCCGCAUCCUCUUUAGGAUUAGGAGUCGAGCCCUUGUUCAUUGAUGGCCUAGCCUCUCUGUCUUUACCAAAAGGAUAGCUUGACUCAAAAGAGAAAGGACGCUUGAAGUUCAAGAGCGACUCCGGACCCGCCCGGAAGUUGUCGAAUCAUUAGCCAAAUAAGGAGAAGAGAACAAACUGGAGUGGGAAAGGGGAGAAGCAUAAGGUUGCCCGGUUCAGAUCAGUCUUCAUUCUUUCUUCGGCUUAGCUGAGAUUCGUACCAUCAUGCCUUCUCUACAGCACCACUUUGCCUUUAACCAGAGGUAAUUCGCUCCUUUCCCGCUCCGUAGAGUUCAAGACUUCCGCUCCGUGGGGGUUAAGACUUUCUAAGAGUUAACAAGAAUACCGGAAUAAAGAAGCUUUACGGUCUCGCUCUUAAGUCGUAUUCAUCCCUCAGAAAGAUAAGAGUGAGAGGUGAGACUUCGUACUCACUCUUCCUUUGGUGCCAAGAAAAGACCUUUUAGUGUAUAGAACUCAUACAAUAUCCCUGUCUUAUGGAGCCUUGAUUUUCCCGUCCGUUUCAGACGCCAACAGGUUAAUAUGGUCCUUUGAAUAUGGAUAAACAAGUCAUCUGGACCUCGCAUAUUGAAUUGCGCCUUACAAGAUCCAGUCAAUGAAUCCGUGGGCUUACUUUGAUCCUCUCCCCCUAUUUCCUAUCGUCGGCGAGCCGCUUUCGCUCCGAAGGAGGUGCAAAGAAUAUUUCGUGGAAGAGGAAGGAAAGAAAGAAAGGUAUACAUUACAAGAAGAGAGAAGAGGAAGGCGCCAUAAGACAGGUCCGAAGGCUAGGUGCAAAGUUCGGUUAAUUACGGAAAGUCCUCCUUCCUUCCAUAUGGAUGGUCCUACUUCGGUUAAUUACGGAUGGUCCUACGGAUAAAUCACCUGGACCUUUCUUUGGCCCAUAUGGAUAGUCCUCCGGACUACGGAUAAAUCCUGCGGACUGCGGACUCCGGACUCCGGACGGCUGUCCGCUACGCUACGGCUCCGCUUCCGCGAUUAAUAUGGAUAGUCCUUCGGACGGAGAAAGAAAGGUGCAAAGAAUAUAUAGAGAAGGAGAGGAUCAAUGUAAGUAAUAUGAUGUAAGGAGAGGAGUUUUCUCCCGCCGAAUUCUUAAGGAGCAAUCAUUGAUAAGGAAGGAUCUUUUCACCUUUAGCUAGCUCGUCGGGCGAUGUCAACAAGGUCCUUCGCUCCGGACCCGCGUAGUGGGAAUGGACAUUCUUUCUUUAGUGCAGCGUCAUUUGCGAAGAAGCGAAAAGAGGAAAGAGGAAAGCCUAUCCAACCCACGGGGCGGUCUAAGGAAGGAAAGCCUACUUAAACCUACUAUCAAUGAACCGCAAUAUUCUUUGCGCCUCCCAGUCUCCUAAUGGAUAGUCCUACUUCGGUUAAUUACGGAUGGUCCUACGGAUAAAUCCUCCGGACUCCUUCCCUCCAUAUGGAUGGUCCUACGGAUAAAUCCUCCGGACUCCGGAUAAAUCCUGCGGACUGCGGACUCCGGACGUAGGACCUGUCUUUAUCAGGAGCGUAGCGAACAGCCGUCAACUACUUGAUAGUUAUCCUAUCUUUCUCCUACGCGGAAUCCAGAAUAGACCUCUCUUUCUCCGGAAAAGAAACUCAAACAAGAAUCAAACUAUGUGAAUUUCUUAUCCCUUUCCUAGGAGUUCUUCUUUCAUUGCGUUUUCCCGGCUUUUUUGCUUCUAAAUAGGACUUUUUCUCAUAUUUCUAUUUCACGAAAAUAGAUCAAAAAUGACUGAUUUUUCAUGAUUUCUUUCUACUAUUUCUUUUCAGCUCUCCUUAUCAGUCGAGCCCAAAACCUAGCAUUUCCCUCCGCGGAUUCAUCUGAAAUCUAGCAGAUUCAUAAUGAUUCUUUCAUUCGAGUUAUGAAAUCAUAAUGAUUCUUUCAUUAUCGUUAAUGAGCUUCUUUCAUUAUCGUUAAUGAGCUUCUUUCAUUAUCGUUAAUGAGCUUCUUUCAUUAUCGUUAAUGAGUGAAUUCUGCUUUUCUUGACUUUUGUGCCAGUCCGAAGGACUAUCCAUAUUCUAUUCUUUGCGCAUCUGCGUCCUUCUUUUUCGCAACGCAUAUUGAAUUGCGCCUUUUAUCUCUUUCUUCUUAAUAGACCAAAUCGAUGAAAUAGACCAAAUCGAUGAAAAGAAGGAGAAUUUGUCGGAAAUGGCCGGGAUAGCUCAGUUGGUAGAGCAGAGGACUGAAAAUCCUCGUGUCACCAGUUCAAAUCUGGUUUUCUCGGCACAUCAUGAAUUUGUAUGAGUAUCUAUUCUACGGAUUCAUUAAUAAUAUAGAUCAUUCAAGGAUACAUCAUCUUUGACCCUCAAGACUCAACAAUAUCCCCCAACUACGUUGCCUCAGUCGCAGCAAACAAAAAGAAAGCGGAAAUCCCCUAAUGGAUAGUCCUUCGGACCUGUCUUAUGGCGCCUUCGGACGGUCACAUAUUCUAUUUUUUCUCUAGUUCAUCAAAUUUCAUGGAUCCGUAGUUAGGAUCCAUAAGACUGAAUAUGGAUUUCUCAAUCGCAUAUUUCAUUGCGCCUCCGUAGCUUAAUAUGAUUUGCUCAAAUAUGCGUUCCAAAAAAAAGAAAGAAUGAAAACUUUGAAUAUUGCGUUGCGUGGAAAUGGAAAUAAUAUCCGCGCGUAGGAUGAAUGAAUAUGAGAAGAAUAUUGACAAGCGCAUUUAUCUAAGAAGAGAAAACGAGUCAAGAGGACGGAGUGCAAGGAUGAAAUCCCGUCCUCAGUCCUAUCCAUAUUAACCUGUUCAUAUAUAGACCCCUCCGCUAGGCUCAAAGAAGAUUUCUCAAAAGUCUGAUUAAAUAGCCGAUAAAAAAGCAGUGAAAUAACUGAAAUAAGCGGUCUACAAUAUAAUAUCCCCCUUUCUUAUGGAGCCUAACUACGGGGGGGGGAUCGAGAAAAUCAGACUCCAAGGGAGAGGUCAGACCAGAGAAUUCUAUUUGGUAUCGGGUGGGCUACUCUUUGUGCUUAUGUUACCAAGGAGCACAAGAGCCCUUACGUUUGGGGACAGUAAUCACUUCAAGAAAAAGGGUCGGGUAGAACAACUUCUUAGGGGAAGCUUUUUCUAUGAAGGAAGAGAAAGAAGAAAAGACGAAGCAAAGAAGCGGAGCGGUAAAGAUCUCUGGCCAGAACCUGAUAGGGCUAGCUUAGCUGCCAGAGGGAUUGGAUUCUCUCUUUAUUGUAUAUCAAGAGAACGUAGAAAUCCUUCUUUCUAGUACGCUCCCAGAAUGAGCCCAAGCCCAGAGAAUGAAAGGUGCUCCUUUUCUCUAUUCUAUAGAUAUAAGAAAGCAGCUAAUUGCUAGCUCUCUUCCUUUGGUGCGAGUGAGGGACUAACCGCCUUACCUCUGCUCACUCCGGAACUAAAGAAAGCCUACCAAAGAAGAUUGAUUGCUAAGCCAGAAAGAGAAAGAAAGCCUACCAAGAAAUCGAUCAGUCCCUAGGGUUAACAAAUUAGUAAGUUCAUGUGUCAUGUAAAUUACUCAAGGGUGUGUAGUAAGACACCCAUCCGCAGCUCAAUAUUCUUUGAACCUCACCUUGACUAGACACUCAGCGCAUCAUGACUCAAAGUAGUACUAAUUUUGAGGGAAGAAAAAAAGGCGAGAGAUAUUAUCGAGGGAAGUAGUCAUCUUCUUUGAUUCAUUCUAAGAACUCUGUCCCAAGCGGGAAAAGCUCAGAGAAAGGGAAUUACACAGGAUGAAAUGGGGAUGAAAGUAGGUUAGAGCUUAGAGAUUAUGUCCGUUGCACUGCCAUAGUCGUCGCGAAGGAGAAGGACGAGGCGCUAUAUCAUAUAUAUAGCUCUACUCAAUGAGAAUGCAUCCAGAUAGAGUGCCGCGAAUUAGAGGAGCCGAUACAGAAUGGGAAGGAAGACAGUGCUGUCUUACAUUCCGCGUGGGCCAGCCUCUCUUUAUAUGUCACCAAAGAAGACAAGAAGCCCUAUGUCUGGGGAAAGUUCUCCCUUCAAGACAUACUGCAAGAAGCAGAGGUCAAAGCACAAAAGGCUUUCUUGUGAACCAGCACGAGCGUGUGCGGAAGCUUAGAGAGAGGAUUGAGCAGUACGAUGAUUUCCUGGAGCUAAGGGGCGAUCCAGAGAUCGCAGGGCUCCUCUGGUCCAAGUACAGUACUGAAAGCAAAAUCAGGGAAGAUUCCCAGCAGAUAAAGCUAGAAAAGAGAUCCACUAUGGAGCUACGAGUAGCUUAUCUCGAGGAGAGGGGCGAAGAAGCUCGACUGAAAGGAGAGGGGCCGGCCUCUUCUAAGAAGAAUUAGAGGAUCAAUCUCUAUUCUUAGAUUGGAUUGGAUCGCCACCAACCUCGUCUUCCAGAGGCCCAUCCAUAAAGACAAGGCAACUCUUUGUCUAUGGGCGGCCAAGUACACAAAAAACCCCCUUGUUCUUAGUAUGUUAAAGAAGGGCUUAAGGGAAGAAGAAGAUCAAGCCUAGGGACAAAGGAAGAACGACUAAAAUCAAAAGGGGCACACGAUUACUUCGACCUCUGGGUCGUCGAUGAGUUCAUGGAAGACAAGGCGCAGUCCGAAAACGAAUCGGAACAAGGUCGGAAUUAGAUUCAGGGGAUGCUCACGCUCAUGGGCAGGAGUGCAGGCCUCAAUACGAAAGGACCUGAUAUAAGAAGGCCAAGGUUCCCAUUAUUUUCAUGGGAAAGCAUAUACCUUCUACCUGAACCGUGGACGAAAGGCCUUUGGCCAAGAGAAGAGAGCCUUUCACCUUUCAACUUUGACUCCAACAUAGAGGAGCUGCAAGAGGAGAGGCUUAUAGCCAAUGGGGUUGUAUUUUCGGCCGCCUGCACGAUAGCAGGGGAGCUCGUAAGGGAUCCCCGCCUUUAAUACAAUUCGUUAAGCAGAUUAGAAGUGCCUGUAAGCGACGGAAAGAUUCUUUCACUCCUUAUUAUUGAAAGGAGAAAUCCACGUGCUGGCAAUAAGGAAGGGCAGCAAAAAGGGGGAGAAAGCCUACCUGGACCGCGGAGUGGGCAUUGCUCAACUGAGAGCAUGGGACAUGAACCUACUACAGUUUGCCGUAGUACCCCAAGAAAUCCGUAAAUUCAUAGCCCAUGAGCCCACACAGCACAUAAGGGGAGCACGCCAAAGGCUGGUUAUAAGGAGGGAAGAGGACCACGAUAAGCAGGAUUACGCCUUAUGGUAGGCUUUCCUUCGUGACGUAAAAAGGGUGCCCCAGGCCUUGUUCAAGGUGACCCAGCAUCCAUCUCCAUCAGUACUCUUUCUGUUCUAAUAAGCUUUUAGCAGUAUAGCGGGAAGCAUUUUCAUUCAAUAGGGCAAGAUGGAAAUUUUCCCACUCCAUUGCAUUGGGGAAGAUUUUUGAGAAGUUUCAGCCUUAGUGCAUUCUUUUGUCUCUUCUCUCUGUCUGCCUGAGAAAGAGUUCUGAGAAUCAAAUCAACCUUCAGAGAUUCCCGCCUUCUUUCUUGACUAGUAGUAAGCAUUAUGCCUUUCAUUUCUUAACCUAGUCAAAGAGGGGGAGCCGCUGCUCCUUUGUAUAGGGAAAAAGGGUGAUAUAAAGGGAUGAAUUCUCUGGUCUAAUUAAUAAUAGACUGGGGAUCGUAGGAAAGGUUCUUUACUUGUCGGCUAGCCUAAGCUCCAUCCUACUUACUUGCUUUCUUACACAUUUAGACCGGUCCGAAGCCUGAAUUCUCGAUUUUCGGUUCAUCUGAAUUCAAAAGAAAGAAAUCAGAGCCCACUUCAUCAAAGAAAAAAAGAAGAAUGGGGACGGUCCCCUGCUUCCUUUAGUUCCUUUGGUGAACAAUAGGUCAUCUUCUACCCAGAAUUGACGAGUCUUCCCUUCUUUAAUCAACUGUAUUAUAGCUUGGGCCGCAGGGUCCUUGGCCAGGCAAGCCUUGAUAGUUUCAAGAAGGGUGCCGGCUGCUAGCUUUUAAAUGGGCGAAGAUGCACAGGGCCGCAUGUUCGCUCAUCCGACUAAGGGCUAAGGCCGCUCUCCUUUACCUGUCUUCAAAUUUCAAAGAAAAUUCGGCCAAGCAUUCUUGCCAACGAGCUUCUUUAGAGGUCAAUUUGGGUUGACUGAAAAAGUGGCAUAUCUUUCUAUUGUCCGUCUUGACUACGAACUGGGAUCCCAAGACAUAUUGUCUCCAGGCUCUAGUGUACCACUGCAAGCAUUUCUUUCUCUCCGGCUUCUCCUCUCCGCAUCCAUCCUUCAGUUUCCUGCUCUCAUAGGCAAUGGGAUGGCCGUCUUGGAGGACUAAGGCAAAAUCAGAUGCGUCGCUUUCCACUUGCUUUGCUUACAUCGGCAAUUCCGAGAACCGGCCCUUCCAUCAUGGCCUUCUUCAGAUCCCCCAGCCUGAGAUUCUGGGGUCCAUUCCAUUCCCACUUAUGGUCUUUCUUCAAGAACUCCGUUAAGGGCCCUGUUCUUGAAGAGAAUCCCUCAAGGAAGGUAGGCUUUCUGGAAAAGAAAUAGUAGGUUCUACGAGGAAAGAAGGCAAAUCCCUUACUACAGACGGCACUCUCCAGUCACGUAGAGCAGUCAUUUUGCUCUCUUCCAUGCCGAUUCGGCCACACUCGAUCACGUGACCGAGGAAGUUAAUGCCUUUCUGAGCAAAGGCAAUUUCUCUCUCUUUACAUACAGUCAACCUCAAUUUCUCAAAUACUAACUGAAGGUGAGGUUGAUGCUCUUCUAGCCUCGCGCUCUAAACCACAAUCUCGUCCAGAUAUAUAUACUAGGAUCAACUUCUCAAGGUAUGAAUGGAAAACCUGAUUCUGAAAGGUAGAAAAAGUGGCUGGAGCAUUGGUGAGGCCGAAAGGCAUUAGACUCGGAAUGAAAAGGCGUAAUCUCGUCUAAGACAAUGGUUCAUCUCCUGAAGCAAUUCGCACUUGAUAAUAAAUACCCUGAAAUCUGAUCCAAUUCUUCAAAGUACUUGGUGGAGGCGGUCAAAUAAGUCUGUGAUAAUGGGGAGAGGUCUUUCGAACUCUGAGUUUAUUCAGCGCUCGAUAGUCGAUACAUAAGCGGAGACUUCCCUCUUUCUUCUGAAUCAAGAAGAAAUAUGUGCGCGAGGACCUUUUGCAGGUCUAAUAAACCCAGCGUCCAAGAACUCUACCAAUGAGAAGUUCUGCCAAUUCUGGCGGCCCCAUGUGAUACGCAUUCUUUGCAGGGGGUCUCGCCCCGGGUAGAAGUUCUAUCUCAUGAUCUAUCCCCCUGAGUGGAGGUAGAGUCUUAGGCAAACUCUCUGCCAUUACGUCUUGGUAUUCGUCUAAGACAUACUGGACUGCCUCCGGAACUAGCUCUUUCGGACUUUCCUCAUCAACCACUGGGAUAGCCAUGAAUGAACGUGGGCUCUUCGCGGGCUAGCCCUCUCUUCAGCUGGAGAAGUUUCAUCCCUUUCUUCUCUUUGUCUGGACUACGGUGGGAUUAGAUCCUGUGACUACCAAAGAUUUGGCCAAGGAUCAAAGUAUUUGAGCUUUGCGCCUUGUGUUCAAGAAGGAAUUCCAUCCCCAGCACUACAUCAAAAUCGUCCAUCUUCACAACCAAAAAAUCCGUCUGUCCACUCCACGAUCCCAAUUUGAACCUCAUUCGUCUUGCAAUCCCCAAAAUGGGUAAGGCGGCUGAGUUUACUCCUUUCAUUUUUCCUGGGUCUUUGUCCCAAUUCUAAGACGUCGGGCCUCUGUCUCAGCAAUUCCAUUGGGGGUGGGAAUCGACCUCUUUUGGCCUCUUUCUGAUUCACCCACGCAUCUACGUACAUGAGACCUCGUUCCGCCUGUCCUUUAUUUCCCUCUGCCUUUUUCUUCAGGGCGGACAAAAACUUCAGGGCCCCGGGGUUUUCCUCGCCCUCUUCUUCCCCUGUAUUCGUCUCAUUCUUUUCUUUGUUCAUUGAUCGGCAUUGGUUCUUAACCUUGCCUGGAAUGCCUUGAGAGCAGCGAGAUUUGGGCAUUCGUAAACUCGUUGGGGGCCCUUGCACAGGAAGCAAGAUGGGGGUCCUCCUCUAUAAUUGCCUUGCUCUUGCUUCGGGUUGCGCCCUUGGUGUCCGCCUCUUGGGGGAAAGGCUUUGCGAUCCCCUCCUCCCGCUCUCUCUCCUCCUCCACUUUUGGGAGAGUUAGAUCCGGCGGGUUUAUUACUUCCACUAGAGGAAGCUUGCUUUCCUCUUUGCUCGUGGGGCGCAUCCUUGCUGAGAUCAAAUAGUCGUUCUGCUGCGGCAUAGGCUGAGGACAGGCUUUGGACUGACGGCUUUCUCUUUCUUUUUCUUUCUUUUAGCCCACCACAAAAGAUCAAACUUUAGCUUUCUCUGACAUAUCACGGAUAUCCAGGAUCAGCCCGGCAAAUUGCUUCACGUAUUCUCUAAUUGUGCCAGUAUCUUUUAGUUCUCCUAACUUACUGAGAAUUUCUUCUCGGGGAAGAACUGAGACCGCAGCUCUUCUUUCAGUGUCUCCCACGUAUCGAUGGUCCAUCUACCCUCUUGGAUGUCCACAAAUCGGGACCUCCACCACAAGCGUCUUCUGCCAGGUGCAUCGUCGCCAAUGUGAUCAAAGACUCUUCAGUCACUGUAUUCCUAGCUCUUAAAUAUUGUUCCAAAUCAAGGUGAAAAGAAUAUUGACCAGCCUAAGAAAGAGAAAGCCUAGGCACUUGAACCCGGUUGAACUGGACCGCGCCCCGGGCUUGGUCACCGCUCUUAUGGUGAGAUUGACUCUUGCGCUGACAUCUGCAAUCUCUGUCCUGAUGACAUUAUCAGAGCUCCUCCGAGAAUUCAAUUCGUUCACCAUUUUCAUUAUCGCUUUCUCUCAGCUGUCCAAUGCAAGGCUCUUCAGGCCGUAGAGCCCAGCUAUCCCCUCCCUCGCUCGAAGCUACCCAACCUGCUAGCAUUUGCUUCUCUCAAAUGAGCAAUAUUCUUUGCACCUUGUCAUCAACUCUUUGAGGGGCAUUCCGUCUAAGCGGCCAGCUACCGCAUCGAUUCCGCCUUCUCAGAGACUUCCUUCAGCCGAGUGUCUCUAGGAAUCGAACUUGAUCAGGGACUUCUAUCAAAUAGAGCAGAUGCUCUUCCAUCUCUCCCAACCGGUCAACGUGGGACUUACCCAACUCUUUCGUAGCCGACAUGAUUACAGCUUGUUAACUUCGUGAGCCGACUUGGCUCUGAUACCAAUUCUCACGGUCGCACUUUCGUAAGCGUCUCGGAGCGAUCUAAGGCAAUCCCACACUAGAACAAGUCAGCCAAACUCAAUCCAAAUAGCCGAUGGCACGCACAAUGGACGUACUUCGCAACCCUUGAUCAAUUAGAAAAGGGGUUUAGAGGAAAAGGUUUGAGCAAAGGUUUGAAAGCAUCUUUGAGAAAAUCAAUGAGGGCUAUAAGCAGGACAAGAAGUUCUAUCUUUUCACUCGAGGAUGUGUGGAUAUGAUGAUUAGUCUGACCCCCACAUAGUACAUUUUGAACAAAAAGAGAAUUGGCAGGCUCAACUAGAAAGAAAGGAAGAAAGCCAGCGGUGGAAUAAAGAAGAAAGUUUGAGUAUAUUCACCUUUUAUUUGCCGCCUUGAUUUUGUGAAGAGGUCGGAUAUAUAGGAUUAGGAGGAGUGGGAGUGGAGAUCCCGAACUUGCAUGAGAAAAAUAGAUCAGUCAGAAAGGACUUAUCUCAUUCUAUAUGUUCCGACGCAUAAAGAAAGAGUAGAAAAAGAUAGAAAAAGGACGGGACAAUUAAUUCAAGUACGGAAUCCUCUGUCCAUGUCUUGAGGUCUAUUCGAUCUUGAUCGACUGCUUUUUCCUUAGAAGACAGCUGUCAAAGCAACCUCCUCAACCUAUCGGAAACUCCUCUGAACCUGCGAUGGAUGAUCUCUACUGGUCUGAACUUUCUUCUUAGUGAACUGAAAGGCCUACGAGGAGGCUGCUCGAGCUACCUUACCUCUCGGUAUGAGUGCGGUUUCCGUCGGAGUUCUUGAAUCGGAAAUGAGUACAUUAUCAGCCGUCCAGCGACUUUCUUAUUCUACUGUCAAAACUUCUUCCUCGCUUUUCUUUAUGGGAACUGAAGCUCGCUAGGUAGGAUGGAUGCAAAAGUCUGUCCUUCGAUAAUUGGUCGGGCAUAUUCCUUCCACUCGUGAACCCCUUCUCCUCGGAAUACGAACCUAUUCCACUGCAGAAGAACCGAGACUUCUCCUACGAAUGACUCGUAAACUGAAGAUCUUUCAAACUCCUCCGAGCAAUAUGAAAACCUACUAAAGCCUAGGAGGGAAUUCCAUUCCGGCCUGGCUUACCUUGAGAGUUGACUGACUUUCUUCCUCAUGAAACUCCAAUGCAUUCCCGAAAGAGGUCAAGCUGCAACCUAUCCUCUUGGUCUCCUCACACAGCGCGUAGUGGUGGUCGAGAUAUUAAAGGCGUAGUGGGCUGGCCGGUCUACGAAGAGAUUCUAAUAGUGAGAGAGCCAGACCCAAGUCAAGAGUUCUAUCGGAGGCCUUCUCUUGAAAACCGAGUUCUCGAUCCGAAUUCAGAUUACUCGGUCUAAUAAUGGAAGAGAGGUUCCAUAAGCAUAAGAGGAAAGCCAUACCUACUCAUAUCUUCUGCUUUCAGUUACCUCCGGGCUUCCGGUAAUCAUUGAAUCAUUACGCAUGGUCUAAUGGAAGAGAGAGAGAAAGAGCCAUUCCACUCGUCAACUUAGGAUGUGCCACCAAGGCUCAAAGAAUUUGAGAAAGAACAUCACUCCUUUCUUCUGGUCCGGUCCCGAGCAAGGUAGAUCCGCCUGUCUUUCAUGCUUUGUUUUUUCCUCUAACCUCUCGACUCGUACUCUUUCUCUCUCCUUUCUUCCUCGUGCGUGCCUAUUUGACUUUGCUGUCUCGCUACUUUCUCAGUCUGAUCCUUCAUUAUUCUUUCAUAAGAGAAUGGGAAUAUGAGCAUACGAUUUCUGAAUAAUAGCUUGACUCUCCUGGAACAAGCCACAGCCACUUCCUCAACUUCCGCAGCCACUGCUCUCGAUCCUUUCUUCUUCAACUUCAACCGCUCCUUUACCUUUAAGUAGGUUCAGACUUUCCUUUCUACAGUCAAAAUCAACCGUGGGCGUGGUGACCAAUCGUCCGCGAUGGAAUGAGAUCUUGAGUCAUAAGAAAAGGUAGGGAGAGGUGGGAAGCCGCUAUCGGUCUGAUUCAUAGGGCAUUCUUAUUCUCUUUCUCUCUUUCUUCCAAGAAGACUAGACCGACCGACCCCCACUCGGAUCGGUCUUAUUCCGCUUCUUAUUCUACUUAAUAAAUAAAGGUAAGAUAAGAAAGCCACGGGUGGUGGGAGGUAAGCUUCGUAGGACGCCCCAAAGAUGAAAGAGGAGGCUACCUACCUACAAGCUUGACUUAUAUCCUCGUAAACUACUUUUGAUAGGGAUCUCAUGAUCGGAUAGUAAUGUCAUAGGAUUGAUCAAAGAUCAAAAAGGGUUGCGAGACCUAGUUUUCUCCUUUUCUUGGGUUCGGGAAAGGGUAUCGGAUUAUGGGCGAAGCCGCUCCACUGUAUCAAGAUCGAGAACUCACCCGUAUCAGAUGGAUCGGCCGAGUCAUAGCUCUUCCGUUGCAGCAGAGUCAGAAAGAGCGGGGAACUCCGCAAUAGUAGGACUAGCUAGCGCAAGAAUCAUAUAUCUACUCAACGAAGCAGCAUAGAAAGGACAGGAGCGAAGCGAGUAUCAUCAGUCCAUUCAAUAUUCCAAAUUGAAUAAGAAAGAUUCCCGCUACGUGGGCAAAGAAAGAAGGAAAGUAAUAGAGAGUCACUCCAUUCAUAACUAGGUAGUUCUGGCUUUCUAUCUCCAUCUUAGAGUGACCACCUUCUUUUCUCAAAGAAAGCAGGCGACCAAUAUAAAAAAUAGUGGACUGCGGUCCUGCGAAGCCGGUCAACGGAUAGGCAGAGUACAAACCGAUGGUAGACUUUCUUCAAGUUUGACUUUCCAUGAACUAGUCUAUUAAAGAAGAGACGAAGAGCUUGAUUAUCCACUUAUUUCCCCCUCAAUGAUCUUGAGCAGGGUAUAUAAUGGAGAAUAGAGACUGAACUUCUUAAUAUGUAUCGUAUCACAGAUCCAUGAAAGAUCCUUUUUUCCUAGCCCCUAUUGCACCAUCUUGAUAGGAAUAGGUUGAAUGAGUCAGAGGAAGCGAGACAGAAGGCAUCGGGGCAGGGGAGUAAUCGUAAUCCGUCCCAGGAGAAUAGGAAGUAUCCGUUGAGGAAUCAGAAGUUGAAUGAGAGGAAUGAGAGACUGAAAGCAAGACGGGAUCGAUGUGCAGGUCAGAAAUCGGGGGGAUAUUUUCUAGGGAUCGGAGGCCCCGGUAACAUAACUCUCUUAUAGAAAGAGUAGGGUAGGAGUAUUCUCAGAAGUUAGUAUUCCAGAGUCAGCCUCAUCCAUUUCAUGAGUCCGAAGUUUCAGUUUCGGAAGUUGAAUCAGAGUGAGAGGAAUCAUCUUUCGGCAGAGGGCUAGGCCAGGAGGGCUUGAUGGGACUAUCUCAAUUCUCUGUUCCGGAAGCCUCAGUUAGAGGUUAUCAUAGGAUCGACCUUCACUAUCCCAAGCAGCUAUCUGCUUAGGGGCUCUCUUCUUCCAUGUCGGAGAAAGUACUUUUUCUUGAAUCAGAGUCUGAGUACGAAAAGCAUCCUUGAGUAUGAGAAGGAUAGGUUGCUAGGGAAGAAAGGAUAGAAGCAGCUUUACCGCCCACGUAGCGGGAGAGAGAAUGAGAGGGAUAGGACGUCAUCACCUUAUCAAUAGGAAGCGAUACCGGCCGAGUGCCAUUUAGUUAGGAUGCGGCUUUCCCGACGGGUAACUGAAAUUCCUAAGCAAGAUCAGUUUCAUUAUCCGUUUCCGAAGAGCUACUCUGAUAGCUUGACUCAGUAUUCUUUAUACCCCCUCUUUCAAGGGAGAAUUAUCCGACUUAGGAGGGUACCGCAUUGGGCAGAAGCAUCACAGCAGUUCCUAUAAGAAAUAUUCCCUAGUUCAGGUCGAGCAGAGCUUCAUACCGAUUAAGAAAGGGAUAAGAAGACAGCUGAGCACCGAUCCCGAAAGAAAAGAGUCUAAGUCGAAAAAUCCGCUUUUAAGAAAAUGAAGUCAAAUUCUUUGCCUCUGUCUUAUCCGCUCCUCUCCCACUGCGUAGGAGGACGGUCUAGCAGCCCUUUUUCUUGAUUACGGAAGAAGGGGCCCUAACUUUUGAGUGAUUUAGGCUAUUUCCCCUCUCCCUAUCUAUAGGUCUAGCUCCUAAGCGCGUAGUGGGCUCUGCUGCCUCGCUCGGGUCGUAUUCAUAUCUUGAAAGAAGGUCAGGUCUAGCUUUCGGCGCUCUUCCUAUGGAUCAUGAAAUGAGUACUUAUUGCCAUAGAGCCGCAUCGAUCCUAAUCUACUCUGUCUCCCUUCUGGUCUCGCUCCUUCGCUUCCUAUUUCUGAAGCUUGUUGUCGAGCUCCUUCGCUUCCUAUUAAAUGACUGACUCAUGGUUCUAAGAAUGAAAUGACUUUAGACCUGAAAGAAGACCCGAUCCGGGGCCACUUCGCUCUUCAAGCCUAUCGGUAAAGCAGCUUUCGCUGACUCUGACUUUGCCCUGGUCUACCUUCCCCAAAGAAAAAUCGAGCCCUCACUCUACUCUUGCGCUUCCUUUUCCACUCUUCUCCCUAAGGAAAGAGAGAAUUUGACUUCUACUCAGAUCAGAAAAUAGGGAAAGCUUUCUCCAACUCAUGAAAGGCGUAUGAGGCAUAUGAAAGAGAAAGAGCGGUAGUUCUCAGUCCCCUUAACCCGAUCUGACCCUAUACAAAGCGAUCUUGCUUAGAAAGUCUCUUUCCGCCACCAGAUCUGAUUCCUACUAAACUCAAUCUGACUCCGGAUCUUAUGCUCCGGCUCUCGAUGCUACCGCGUAGUGGGCCAUAGAUCUUUGCGCCUCCUCAAAAAGGGCAAUAUUCUUUGCGCCUUCUCUUCUGACUUCGGUUUUUGGAAGGUGGGCUUUCUUCUUCUUCUUUCUCAAACUAGACGCCCACUUAGCCCCGUCAGUGGCCCUUCUUUUUUGAUAUAUUUAUAUAGGCGCCCGCGAAGCAAGGCAUCCUUCAUAUUUCUCUGGGAUAGGCAGAGUACAAAAGAGAAGGAGAAGAUCGAUUGAGGAAAGCAUGAACUAUCGUUAUAGUUGUGGAAAGUAGAUCUUGAUUCUUCUUACCACCUUCUUUGAGAAAAACCAGCAAGAAUAAUGGCUUUGAUUCAAGCCGGUCAAAGUCUGGCAGAGUAGAAAAUUCGAACUUGCUUCAAGACAGAGAGUUCAAGCUAUGACGGUAGUUCUGGCGAAGUCUCUCUCUCUUCUUCCAUUAGAUGCAGUAGGGGAAUCAUCAUUCUCACUCCCUUUCCGAAGAGCUACUGACUGAGGAAGACUUGGUGCGAGACCGAGUUGGAUCGAAAGAAGCGGCUUUCCCGGAUUGAGUAGGGGACUAAGCUAUCUCAAGAGAGUAGGAGCCUCAAGCGCUUUCAAUUCGAAGUUAGAGUCAGUGGCGCUCAAUCUCCAGCUCCCCCGAGCAGCCUUUCCCGAUAGGGUCUUGAGUGAGUUAUUGCCUUUCUCCCUUUCAUAGGUUAAGUGAGUCACAACAAUCGUCAGCGAGAACUAUCUAUUUCUAUCAAGUAGGCUUACAGAGGGUAUUUCAUAAGACAGGAGAAUUCUCAGUGUCGGCUACGAAAGGCGAGACCAGUCAAAUUCUUUGACCCUAGGCUUGAUUUUCAUAUUCAAGAUUCCACUCGCAAAUUCUUUGCCCCUUAUUCAUUGAUUGCGCUUGCACGCCUAUUUUUUGGAUUUCACAGGUCCGAAGGACAGACAGGUUAAUAUGGAUAGGACUGAGGACGGAAUCAGACUUCUAAUAGAGUGUCCAGCUGACUAUCCAUUAGAAUAAGGCGAAGGCUCAAAGAAUCCCACUACGCGGGAUAGUCCGGAGGACUGGAAGGCGCAAAGAAUAUUGCCCAUUAGAGAAUUUGACUUUGGAGGAGGCGCCAUAAGACAGGGAUAUUCUUGAAUACUAUUACUUCUUAUUUGACGUUAGGCUCAUAAUAUAGUAUGAACCCUUGCGCUCCUUAAGAGUCGCUUCGCUUCUCCCCUCUCCUUUCAGUCGUCCGGAGGCUCAAAGAAUGAUCGGAGCUUUUCAUAUUGCGGAAAAGAAGAAAGGCUCUUUGAAGAUUGAGAAAUCCAUAUUAAAUUAGUAAGCGGUAGCUUUCUUACAAAGGAAAGAUUGAACCGCGUAGUGGGUCUUUCAAAGAUUAUUAUCAAUAUCAAAACAUUUAAGCGGAAGCCUUGUUCUUCCAGCGCCUAUUCUUUGUGGUGGUCCGAGCUACCGGUACUACUUUCUCCUAAUUAGACUAAUGGAAGGAAGACCGUAACCUCCUAAGCGAGCACCCCUUGUCCCUAAUAAGAUCAAAGAGCUUCUCGCCCCUUGCUUGAUCUUCCCCUGGAACCCACGGAGCGGUGGGGUUCAGAUCAGAGUGCCAUGAACAGACUGACGGAAAGAAUGAAAGACCGAUCGUCUAGUAAAUGAGAUGCCCAUUGAUACCCUUUUUCGAUGCAUGCAAAUGGACUGUCGACAAAAGAUAAUAUAGAAAAAUCAGUGAUUUUCCUCUUUUCAUUGCUUCCACCUGCGAACAUUCCCCCUUGAAUCAGUACUCUAAUCUAAGAAAGGGUCCGGGUCGUAUUCUAUCUUUCAUGAUCAAAGAGGAUGAAAUGCUGCUCGACAAGAGGGGUUGCUGUCUAACUUCAAGAAGUAUUGAAAGGUAAGACCUAUAAGAAAGAGGUCAGACCCAGAGACUGAUUUCUUUGAGUUCGCCUCUUCCUUUGGUCUUGAAUAUCUAGAUCUGAGUUCGUCGGCCUCAUUCAAGGCAUUUCACUCAAUUUCCUUUUAUUUACAUAAAAUCGCCUAGUUGAGACCGCGUAGUGGGGAUUUACUCGACUAUUAAAAACCUUGGGAAAUCCGAAGCUCUUUCCUCCCCAAGGCAGACCGAACUACAAGAGCUUUUUUCUAGAAUACGAAGAGGAGGAAUCGGAUGACGAAGGAUCAAUCAGGCAGGGAAAGGAAAGUCGGGCUUACUAGCCCGCCAUCUCAAGCUCAUCAGACCCACGUAGCGGUUCGGAGUCGGAGCGGGAAUAAAAGGAAGAGGUCUAAGUCGAGGGGUCUCCAGCUACCUGGGUAGGGUCGGCAGGUCGGGGCCGAGUGGGAGAUCCUAUUUCAGUGACUAACGAAAGAGCUUACCUCGAAGAAGAGAUGACGCAUCCUCAACUGCACUGCUACUGGUCUCGUCUUUCUCUACUGCUUGAAAGCUGACGCUUCUGACUCAAGAAAGACGGGUUAAAAAGACUAUGAAAGUCCGCCGAGACUGGUGUCUUUCACCCCCUAUUUCCGAUUUCAGUGACUAGAAAGAAAUACUAUACCGCGUAGUGGGACCCGAGCAAAGAAUAUUGCUUUAAAUAGUGGUCCGUCCGGAGGACUCAAGGAUUCCGCUAAAGUUUACCGAAGGCGCAAUGAAAUAUGCGGCGUGAGGUUAGGAUCAAAGAAUUUGAAGAGAAGAAAGGCUCUUUUCAGAUUUCGAGUUUACAAAUUAGGAGAAAGAAAUAGAAAGUGCUGAAUAAUGAACUCAUUAACGAUAAUGAAAGAAGCUCAAAAUGGGAAUGAAAAAGAAAGAGGUGAAUAUGGGAGAUUUCAGACAUCUUUGCUUAAUGAAGACGGAGGGAAAUCCCGGAAAAUGCUAGGUUUUGCCCAUAGGGAAGUAGCAAGAAAGAAAGUCAAAUGCCUUCUUUUUCACUCAAUUAUCGUGAAAUAGAUAAAACUGAAUAUGGAUAGUCCUUCGGACUGGUCCAUUAGAAAAAUCUAGUGUGUGGAAAUUCACAUUGAGAACUUAUAGUUUGUGGUCCUAAAUUCACGCUGGUACCGUAGUAGGUAAACUUUCAGGGGAAAGAGAAAGAACUUUAGGCUUUGUUGAUUUACUACGUGAUGAUUUUAUUGAAAAAGACCGAAGCCGCGGUAUUUAUUUCACUCAAGAUUGGGUCUCUUUACCAGGUGUUCUGCCAGUGGCUUCCGGUGGUAUUCACGUUUGGCAUAUGCCUGCUCUAACCGAGAUUUUUGGAGAUGAUUCUGUACUAGCGGAGGAACUUUGGGGCACGGGUAAUGCACCUGGUGCCGUAGCUAACCGAGUAGCUCUAGAAGCAUGUGUACAAGCUCGUAAUGAGGGACGUGAUCUUGCUCGUGAGGGUAAUGAAAUUAUCCGUGAGGCUAGUAAAUGGAGUCCUGAACUAGCUGCUGCUUGUGAAGUAUGGAAGGAGAUCAAAUUUGAAUUUGAGGCAAUGGAUACUUUGUAAUCCAGUAAUUACUCUUCGUUCUUUUAAUUGACUUUCAAUUAAACUAAACUCGGCCCAAUCUUUUACUAAAAGGAUUGAGCCGAAUACAAUACAAAGAUAUUAUUUUAUAUCUUUUUACUAGAUAUACAAAAUAGAAAAUUGAAAUGAGAAAGAACUGAAACAUUUUUUGAUUGUUGUGCUGGAUCCGCAAUUAAGCCUAUGGAUCCUUAGGAUUGGUGUAGUCGUUUAAUAUAUUAUAUCCCGUAGCCUCGUUUCAGAUCCGGGAUCGAGCCAAGUAUCACAACUUCUUCUACCCAUCCUGUAUAUUGUCCUUUUUGUUCUGUCUUGGAAUACAAAUUUUUGCUUUUUAGUAAACAUUAUAACGGAACCUUUUUUUUGAAGACCGACUCGUUAAUAGUUUUUAAUCCUAGUUCUUGGAUUUAGUGAUAGGAAAUGAGAUAUGAAAAUGAUUUCCUUUUUAUCGAAUGACUAUUCAUCUAUUGUAUUUUCAUGUAAAUAGGGGCAAGAAAGCUCUAUGGAAAAA
rnacentral:lncRNA from 1 species